CAGACAAAGCAGGAUUACAUAUUGCGCAUGCCAAAGCACGGCUGUGCAAGACGUAGACUACUACAGAUAUACACACCCCAGGCCCGAGCAUAUAACACUGAGAAUCACCUCCAUAGUAAAGACUUCAAGAUGGGAUCAACUAUGCAUACAGCACAUACAAUCCCAUUCUGCAGACAAUGAAGCGGUAAUACUCAGAUAUGUAUGAUCUCGAUCGACAACACACUUAUUCCUUUCCUUGGAAGCUUCUAGUAGUCGUCGGUGUUGUUCCUGCCCGACCUACUCAUCGGAGCCGGACUUGUUGUAGCCUCCGCUGUAGUCAUCGGUUCCUGACUUGCUGCUGCGGCCAUAGUCAUCGCCGCUGGACUUGUUGUAGCCUCCGUCAUAGUUGUCCGUGCUAGACUUGUUGUAGCCACCGCUGCCAUAGUCGUCAGUGUUGGAGGUGUUCUUACCGCUGCCAUAGUCGUCGGUGCUCGACUUGUUGUAGCCGCUGCCGCCGUAGCCAUCAGUGCUGGAGUUCUUGUAGCCACCAUCAUAGUCGUCAGAGCUUGGCUUCUUGUAUUCGUCGCUGGUGGUGGACUUGCUGUAUCCACCACUGCCACUGUAGUCAUCGGUGCCAGAUUUGUUGUAGUCGCUGCUUAGGUCAUUGGACUUGUAGCCACCAUCGUUUCUGUAGUCGUCGGUGCUGGACUUGUUGUAGCCACCCCCGCUACUGUAGUCGUCCGUGCUGGACUUGUAGCCGCCACCCCCGCUACCGUAGUCAUCGGUGCUGGACUUGUUGUAGCCACCAGCGUUACCGUAGUCGUUGGUGCUGGACUUGCUGUAGCCACCUUCGUCAACACUGGUGCUUCUGUAGCUGCUGCGAUCAUACUCAUCAGCCAUUUUAAGUUGUGAAGUAAAAUAUCACAAAAAUAAAUUGUAUGCUCAGUUCUGUGCAUCCAUGGAGCAUGGGGUAGUAGGUAUUUAUAGCAGAGAACUAGAUACACAGGAGGUUUGAAAGCAUCAAUAGCAAUCUGAAAUACGGGUGGCUAAUAUGAUGGACAUUAAACGGUGAAAGCAGCUCAUUUGUUGUCUAGGUGGAGAUCUUUCUGUGCUCCUCGAGAAAAGACAACUGGACCUGGAGCAAUGCCAUAUGACCGCAAAGAGAAAAAGGAUUUUGAUCCAUCAAUACGUUUCAACCCUGAAAGAUAGCCAAUGCACCACAUAAGUGUUUUUUAUGUAAGCCAAACCACGUAUAAAUGUUGUCUGACGGAAACACACAUGGAAUAUCACAUCUUUUCUUAAACACCAACUGAACUUACUCUGUUUCCACAUCUAUAUGAGUAUCAAAUCUAUGUUAGUUGAUCAGUAAAUAAGAAUAUCCCGAAUAGACCAAUGGAUACUCACAUCUUGCACAAGUGGAUACAGCUGUAAGAAAUUACUUAAUUCAAAUUAGAAAAAACAUUUAGGAUUUGAACACAAAUUAAUCAGCAGGUUUUUAUAGUUUCACAACAAUAAAAUAUGUCCAUAAUUCUACGAAUCAUGUCAUUAGGACAACACAGUGUUAACUGUGAAAACUUAAAGAGUCAUAAAAACAAGGAAACUAUGCACCACUCAUAUAACAGAACCAUGUUAUGAGAUGAAAAUAGCACAAAAUGCUGAAUACCAUCUAGAGGUUUUGCAGCAUGGUGCAACGUUGCAUCCAAAACCAAGAUCUGAACAGGAUUUUUUCUAGUUUUUUAUCAUAACCACUAGCUUAAAAUAAAUAGGCCCCAACUGUGAAUAGGUAGGCCAGCCCAUUAAUGAUGUUUAAUUUGCUAGUGGUCAGGUCAGGGUUAGCAGCGUCUAGCAGCAAUACAAGCAAAGAAAAAUACUAAAGCAUAUUCCUACAAUUAUUUGUCACCAGAACCUGUCACUACUAUUCUGAUAAUUAAUACACCAAUUCAACUUGCUAUAGCAAACAUCUGUUUCUCAGUGAAAAGGGUUGGAACGUUUGUAGUUGGCUGCAUAAAACAUGCAGUUAGAGGCUUGCAGGUACAGUUGAGUUCUGAAUUGCCUACUUACCUUUAAGUAACUUGACAUAGUUGAUCUGAAAAUGAGUAACUAUAAAGAUAAAGGAGCAAUUGCAAGGCCUGAAAUUAGCCAUUCAUUUGUUUACAUAUUUCUCCAGUUCGCUUGGAAAAAUGGUGAUCCCUGUAGAUAAGACAAAAUCUGGGUAAAAGGUAAUUGCAAAUAGAAAAGAAAGAAAAUUCUGAUCAGACCAAAAUUCACAUCAGGAAAAACAAAGAAGCGAAAGAUAAUACACAAUCAUACAACUCACUAGAAAUUAGAAAACCCACAAUUUUCAUUCAUCUGUAAGGGUCUGAGCCUCUGAGGGUGUUACAAUUUGCAAGUAUGAAUGAGAUCAUUUUGUCUAGUGGAGUUGAAUGAGAUGUCUUUGUUUUAUUCAAAGCAUGGAACUGUCAGCAUGUGACUUAAGUAUGAAACAUAAUUUUUGCUUUUACUUGUAGAUAGAGUUGCCAGGAUGAGGAAAUGCUUUCUAUCAGGUCCAGUUUUGCAAACCCACCAUCCCACCCAACCCUGAAAAUCCCAUCCACAGAGAAGGAAUCCUGUCCUUCAUCAAACAAGCAGAGCUAUUUGUUUUCAGUUCAUUGAACCAAGACAUAAUUGCCCAAAAGUAAUGCUAAUUAUUUUCCGUCACUACAGUCUUGUAAAAAAAAACUCUUGAAUUAUAGCUAGGCUACACCAUUCUUCAUGAGCAGCCAAAGACAUGCAACAUGUAUAAUUGUAUCACAAUGAUUUGAGAGUAUCUUCCAGACACAAAUAGCUAGCUUUUUCUAGAUGUUUAAACAAAAUAUUUUGCACCUUUGUUAAAACUGUCAUGGCCCAGCUUCAUAAUGAUUCCAUUCAUAACAAGAAGAAUUUGCAUCCUAACCAGAAAGCAUAUGCAUCCUUUUUACAUAAUGAGAAAAUAAAUGUAAAACUGAACCAAGGAUCGACCAUUAUGGAAUGAUAACCUAAUUAGUUUCAGACAGUCUCAGAGCCCACUUUCAGAUAAACUGCUACAUAGAUAUAUCAAAGGACAAAUGUUAAGCAAAGCGAAACCACAGAAGUAUGAUGUUAUCUGCUCCUAUGAAACCCAUCUUUAGCGGCUUUUCUUCAUUAGAACAAAGAGAAUGGUACAAUGUAAAUGACCCAACUUCCCAGUGGGAAAAAGUAUAUUACAGAUAGACUGAGCUUUUGUUAAAAGAAACAAUGGGAUUAACCAUAAACCAUCUAGAAACUAAGAUCAACAACCAUUGAUACUUGAAGCAGAGCAUAUCAAACAUCAAACUAUGGCAGAUAAUGACUACACACUUUACAAGAACAGAACUAUGCCAACAAAGACAAGUCAUGUGUAAAUCAAUACCUUCAAGUAUAUCUUUAGCAAGGUCUGCCAGAUAAUGUUGCGGGCCAUAGCAUAUACUAGUGAGAUAUUUGCAAUAGGUGACACAACAAAUAGCCAAACUAAAAAUGCACUCUUUCUGUUCCUUUGUGAAAGAUGUAGGAUCAUGUGCAGAAAGAUUGGCAUAAUUUUCCUCCGGAAGGAGAGGCUGGUGUAUUGAUGUUCCAAGCCAACUGAAAUCUAUAGGAUUCUUGAUCUUUUCCAGGCAGGGUAAACCUUGGACUAGAAAUGACCAGCAAUGAAACGACAAAGAUAGCAUUUGUUUGCCAAACCCUUCACAAGUUGAUCUGAACUCAUUAUACUUCACUAAAUCAUGUUUUGCAGAACUUUCUGGACAUGAAGGAAAGGUGAACUUAGCCGCAGAUAAAUACUGCCUCAUCUCUCCCUUCAUAGAUUGAACAAGAAAAAACAAUGACUGCCCAGCACCUAUUAAAAAAUGCGACAGUGGCAUCAUAAAGGAACAUUCAGAUAAGAACAGAUGGUUCGUAGCUCCAGCAAGUACUAAUGAAUAAGCUGCUGCAGCUUUGGCCAUUCUAAUAAGAUCAUCACUUUUUUCUCCAUGCAAACUGCCUGUUUUUAAACUUAGGGCACGAAACCGGUAAGCAGAGGCAAGUGUCAUGUAAGCAGUGAAACAGAGAUGGUGAAGAGGGUGCAGUAUAUGUUUUCUCCCUCGAAGUUCCCCUUUCUGCAAAUCUCUCAUUAAGUUUUCAGAAAGCAUGCUUUCAAUCAUAUCACAACAAGCUUUGGCAUCAUCACCCAAUGAGUAUUCAGAUAUUGCUUGUUGCAAGUCAUCAUCCAAAUCCUCAACUGUUGGAGCUGCAACAGCAUCCUCUGGUUUAUUUAAGUCCCUAGCAUCACACUGAUAGAUAGUCAUGGAGAGAAGUGGUCAAGACAGUUUGUUUUUUUUUUGGCAAAAAGUGUAAGUGUUGACAACUAGGAACAUGUGCAAUAAGCUAAAAAUUCUAGUAAAAGUAUAAAAUGGGCUAAAUAAAACAUUGGUGUCACUAACUGGUGAAAGUAUUAUUAACUAUUUUCAGAGAAAUUUACAACACAGCAGCCAAGCUAUGGAAUUCAAUGGCAGUUUGCUAACAGUUUCCAUAACACUCCAUGACAAUGUGAUUGGAAAGUUUUAAUUGCUUGUGAACAUAGUGCCAACAAUAAAGGAAGCACAUGAAAAAUUGCAAAUAAAUUAUGAGAAUAUUUUAUCCCAGAUUGCAUUCUUACAUUCAAAAUAAGAUCCACAUAAGGUUCUGGUGAUGCUAUACAACGAUUGCAAGAACAAAUGAAUUUAUACUUUAACCACAGAUCCGAAUGCCUUGCUUCCUGGAAAGAGAUGUUAUGAGCAUGACAAGAUAAGUGAAUAAAGAAUGAAAUGCAACCAGUAGAAAAACUUCUUUUCCUCUUUAUUGACAUUGUAUGUUGGACCUCGGAUUGGUAACUACUGAUAAUUUUAACCAAGCUUUACUAAAACAAUUAAUAUGCAUUAACUAAUCAUUAGUGGAAAACACUAGUGAUGUGUAUGCCAGCAUACACCAAAACAUCAAAAGAAAAAAGGCUAGCCCAAAUUUUGUUUUCCUCUGUGAAAGUGGGGAGAAUUUGAAGACAAAUCGACAACUUUGUUUUUGCACACGCAAAAGCCUUGUCUUUAUAGAACAGAUGCAAAGAAACAUUAAGUUUUACACCACAUAGCAGGCCGAAGUGACUGCUAUGAAGUUAAAGACGAAUCUGGGAAAAAUGCUUAAACUAGUAUGCAACAAAGUUUAACAUGACAUGAGAAUUUGCAAAUGCAGAAUACAUUAGUAAGCAGGUAUGAUUGUUCAAGUCAAUAUAUAUCUUUUGCAUCAGCAGUGCAUGACUAAUAAGAGCGCCAUAUCGAAUAUUAACAACAGUGGCUCACAAGAAACCACAAUAACAAAAUUGAGUAAUAGUGUUAUAUGCUUGAAUUGGUGAAAUAUCAGGUGCACAAGAGUAAUACCGGUGAACAUAUGCACAAACUAAAUCUCCUCCCUCGGAUCCAAUCUGAAUGGCCCAAGUGACAGGUGGAAAUCACCCCAUCCCCUUGUCCACCUUUUAAUUGGACAAUCUAAUUGGGCCCUAUGUUAGCCCAAAAGGGAUAAGAGAACUUCCACCUCCCAUGUAGGCCUCUCAGAUUAGGUUCAAGAAACAUUAUUGAGUUUGUGCAUGUGUUCACCAAUAUACUCCUGUCCAUCUGAUAUUUACCCUUGAUAAUUUUGUUAAACAUGGAAUAACAGCAGUCACCAUAUCAAAAUGAAUUAGUUACGGGCCACCAACGUUCUAAAAUUAAGCACAAAAAGAAUAAUGUAUGGCCAUCUAAGAAACUAAAUACCGGUGCAACUAAAAGUCACCCAAAUAGCACACAUUACAAUGCAUUGCACAAGUUAACCUUGAUUAAAUUCUUCAAAAGAAUAAUGUAUGUUCAUCUAAUAUUUGAUCCUGAAUAUAUGAUAGUGACUGACUUAAUGUGUUGGUAAAUUGCAAAUAUGGGUUCAGCAAAAUUCGACAAAAAGUACCUUGGUCUGGAGAAGAUCAAUGUAUGUUAUGCAAACUUCAUCUCCCUUGAUAAUUGGUUUUGUGCAACGAACAACAACUCUGGGACCAUAUUUGCAGAGUGCUAGGAAAUAAUUAGUGAGAAAAAGUUUAGAAUGAUGCAUUCAUAUAUUGCAACAUAGUCAAAAAUAAUGAAAUACCUUUGGUAGAAUUUGCUUCCUCAUACUGCCAAGUAUGCCACUGGAACCAAUAACAAACGCAAUGAUUCAAUGUACAAUAAUAAAGUAAUAGCUCAAGUAAAGAAAAUAAGUGCUUUCCUAGAAGCUAGAAACCAUGCAGCCAAACUAUUCAAUUUUCAUAUAAUUAGUAUCUUUGCAAAUACUUGGAUCUAACGAACAAAAAUAACAGAAUUAGAUCUUACUCAAAAGAUACUUUCACGAUACUUUAUUUUAUCUGGCUUUAUGAAUAUAUUACAACAGACUGAUGGCCAAAGGUGUGUAAGGGAUCCAUGUCCAAAAGGACACUUACAGUGAUGAGUGACCUGAGUAUAAGCAUUCGAUUAUAUUCUCUUAGUAUAUGAUGCAAGCAAAAGUUCAUCAGGUACUAAACAAAAUGGUAAUCAGUUUCCUUUACCACAUCAGCUGCAACUCCUUUGCUAGCAGGGACUGCCCAUGAUUUUGAUUUGUGUGAAAUACAGUCUUCAUUCUUUGGAGCCAAUACAAACCGGUACGAAGCAUUGGGAAAGCAGCUAUGGUUGAACCAUGAGAAACUUGGGCCAUACACAGAAAUUCCCAUUGCCAUCCCUUCACUAAGCUGUACCUCAACACUAUUUGUAAUCACUGCCCAUAAUGCCAUCCUCUCAACUUUAAGCCCAUCGGAGAAGCUAACAUAAGUCUCUGCCCUUGAUUUUCUAGCAGAUGACAUCAAUAAGCUCCCCUCCAAUAUCCUCUCAGCAAUCUGUUCCCCUUCCUCCAGAGCUUCUUCAAUUCCACUUGCUGAAAGUCCACCAAUUCUACUGAAGCGGUUGAUUUGAUCAGAUGAAACAAGACCGUGCAUCUCAAGCGCAUAAAGAAGGCGGAGUGCAGCACGCAAAUCACUUGUUCCUUCAGUAACAUAGUUAGGGGAGGCUCUCUUGAGGUGCUCCACAAAGAAGCAACAUUCACCAGAAGAAUAAUGCACCAGUGAAUCUGAGCUUAAGCACUCUGAGCAGCAGUAUCGAACAGAGCAGCAUGUAGUGCAAGACAUGACACAGGGAGAUUGUGGCGGUAAUUCGCUGAAGCAUGAUGAGCAAUGGGAGUGGAGGAACACGUCAUGUAGGGCGAUGGCGUAUGGUGCGAUUGCCCCAGUUAGGUCCUCCGACAUGUUUACAGAUUCCCGAGCCCUCAUCUCCAUUGCCAUGCUUCGAAGCUUCCUGACCUGUUACGAGGUUCUGUCUGCAAAUAGCAUAAAAAUGAAAACUUUAAACAAAGAACAGAACUUGGUAUUUUCUUUAUUUCUCUUUUUAUUUCUCCUUUGAAGUAAGUUGUUUCCACCUGAACAUCAAUCUUGUGCACUCACGCUUAUCAGACUUAAUUCAGGCCCAACAACUUGAGAAGAUAGCCCAAUGCUUAUCAAAAGUGAACUACUUGAUGUCUUGAUCCAAAAGUAAGCUAACUACGCUAACUGAUGCAGUGAUGCUACAACCACCCCAAACACGCGUAAAAUAAAUUCCAACUUUUUUCCUCCAAAAUCCAUAGAUUCAGCGAAAGAGGAACUGAAGCAAACUAGAUCAGGCAAACCACUACAGCAUCUAUAAGCAGCGGUUGUGUACCAAAAACUGAUAAAUGCACAGCUGAUUUUUGUCCCAAUCCACCAAUGGCGUCGCUAACUAACUUAGGUCUAGAAACACCAAACCCUUUCCCUAACUAACUUGGGAGAGGCUCUACUUGCCUUUGAUCGAACGCAGCACCAGCACCGUCCACGGACGAGUCUGCGACGGAGGCGGAUGUCAGGAUGUGUAGAGGAGAGAGGAGAGGGACCAAGGUAGCGGCGGCCGCAACCCCCUUGUCGGCCGCAGACUAGCAGUCUCGUUGGAGAGACGGAGACGAGAGAAGAUGGGCCGCGAGAGAAGCUGGGCCACAGCCCAUCUAAAUUUCAGAGAAGCUGGGCCACAGCCAGUCUAAUUUCUAUUAUUUGUACGGCCCAUCUAGUUCUGGUCAUGGGUAAACUAGGCCCGACGAGCCCGAGCCCGACCAUGAUCUGGGCUGGAUGUGAUCCUCGCAGCCACAACACUAACGAGAUGUCUAAAUUCAAAAACACAAAUGCGCAGCAAAUUCAAAUCAAAAUUUGACAUAUAUAAUAUAUAAAUAUAAACACAUGUUACUUUAGAAUAUUGACAUUAAUUUGGCAAGGGCCGCGCGAACGCGUACCCCCUCUUCCACAAAUUAUGACGUCCACUCUCCCGUUUAGGAAGAUGGUAAGCCAAUGCUCCUCCCAAGUGCAAUGGAGGCCAUUGAUUUAGGCCAUAGCUCUUCUUGAUCGGCUAUCGACCCCGUCCAGGUAAGUGAGUUUGAAGGUGCCCCUUGGUAUUGCUUUAUUGCUCCCCAGCAUCUUCUCCCGGUUUCGUUAGCCGAUGCGGUACUAUUGCGUCCGCUAAACCGGUGGUCUGCGCCUUGUACUAAUUGCGCGGUCAGGACUCAUGGUGUUCGUAUUGGACUCGGCCUAUAUCUGCAACUCUGUCAAGGCCCAAGCUAUCCCGGCCCGGACGAGCAGCACAAGGGGCCGUUCUGUCCGGCCCAGGUAGAAAUUUGUGAGUGAACCUAGCCAACCCACACGGCCGCAUUUUUUUUAUGUGCUUUUAGUCUGUUUAUAAACAAGUUUCCAUCAACAAAGACGUGCAAUCUCAACCUACAGAAACCAACGGUACAGCACAGGAAUUCAGCUUACUUUCAGAUUCAGGGGCUUCCAACAAAACUUCAAAUCAACCGUCGCUGGUCAUUGUGAAAGCAAUGAGAAUGCAGGACAAGGUGAAGAUGAUCGUCCCUGCGGCGAAGUCCAGGAUAGCCCUCUGGACUUAUAAGCCGGCUGAAAAGCUGAAACGGCUGAUUUGUUGUGAGAGAAAAAUACUGUUCGGUGGCUGAUAAGCCGAAGCGAACAGAGACCCUGCUUUUCCUGACCAGCCAGCUCAACGUCUUUUAGCAGGCCCCUGCUUGUCCGAGUCCUUGGCGGCAUGGACCAGCCUGCUUUGGACCUCAUCAAGCUUGGCCAGCCAUCUGGCUCGGCUGGCAUCUCAGACGGACCAGAUGAAGCCCGUCAUCCUCCACAGCAGGACGCCUACGUAGAUCGCCACGAUGCAGUCCACGCUGUAGUGGUGUCGCUCACGUAUCUCCCUUUGCGUGCUGUGCAGGAUGAGGAGCCAUAUCACGACGGAGAUCCAGCCCCCAUAUGCUUCCUGUGAGCGUGAAACAGAUGGAAAUGGAGUUGGUAUGACUUGAAAUUUAGAAGUGGUUAAUAUGAUAUGUGAGGAAAGGUAGUAGACAGAUCAGAAUGAAUUGGUGGCCUUUGAAAGGUAGUUUGGUUUCUAAUACAAGAGGACAUAUGGAAAGUGUAGCACAUACCGUCCAUGCCAUUGCAGUAAGAACAGCAACAAGCAUGUGUCCACUGUACAUAAGGUCAUUGCAACCACCACUAGCUUUCUUCAACAGAUGGUACCAUGAUGGACCUUCUCCAGGAAUCGGUCUCAAAAUAUCUACCAGGAAGCUCAUCCGUCCCCAGUCAGGCCUAUAUUCAUCUGGAUAAGCUUGAACAGCAGCUGUAAAAGUAUAUAAGAAUACUUUAGUCUCCACCACCGUACAAAACUGAAUAACUGAUAUACCUGUUAGGUGAUAUGACAAAUGAACUAACCAUAUGCCAUGUCAUGUGUUAUGACUCUACGAAUAGCAUUUGAAUCAGAAGCAUAUGGAACAUAGUAUUUUUGUGCCCAAGGAUGAGGAUGCUGAGGUAUUUGAUAACGAGCUGCAGCACACCAUGGUCUUGCAGAUGGAAGAAUAGUAGCAAUGAAUGUUAUUGUCCGAAGAAAACGACCAAUUGCCAUAGUGAACAUAUAUCUUGUGGCUAUACCAAGACCAGGAGCUUUGAUGCAGUCAAACAGAACUGAGAACCCCAGCAUGAUAAACAACAUCAAAUAAUGGUGAAGAGUGAUAACAUGAGCUGAGUAGAUUGACAAUGCUUUGAGGGAGCUUCUCGUUCAGUGAUAGAAGCAGCCAUUGACCAGUGUCAGGAAGCGGUGCAGCAGAUCUGUUAAAACCAGCAGACUUUAGUUUACAAGAAUUUCUGUAGAUUUAGAAUUCAAGUAUGUAUAUGUGGACCAGGAGUGAGUGCACACAACUAAACUACAUAGAGAAGGUCGAAGUUGAAAAAGGCAGUAUUGCUACUGUCUCCUUAUCAGUGGGAAGCCAAGCUCUGUCCUCUUGGGGUCCUCUUGAGUGGAGCUCUUAUCUGACUAGAAAGCCAUUCAAAACUUUAUCGAAGAACCAGCGUUUAUCGAAGAAGCCAGUUUAUAACCCCUAAACAAAAUAGGAAGAGGAGUACUUCACUAUACAGAGGCUGGGUUGUGUUCACAAAGUAUCAUAAAUGCAAUAAUAAAUUACAAUUAGAUGUAAACCAUGGCCAAAUAAACUAGUAAAUGUGAGAAUCCCAUCAAAACAGAGUUGUCUGAAUUUAUUACAUGUAUUCUUGCUAGCAUAGGACUAAACUGUGUUGGGUUAGAUUUUGAGAGCAAUGCAUAUGCCUAAGGAAUCUACUAAGCCCCAAGCUCUAGUGAUGAUUAUGCCUUCCUUACCCACUAAACCUCUUGAUGCUCCUAGUAUAUCCCAAAGAUAAUUGAUGCUUUACUUGAACUUUAAUCUUUUUAGAGUGCCAAUUGCCGUUAAAUCAGAACAGGAUCAAGCAGUCAGUUAUCACACACUCACAAUAUCAGCAGACUUAAUCUAGCUAGUCAAUAGCAACAAUGAAUCAACAAGGUUCCAUUUAAACAAUUGCACAGACGCCUAUCACCACGAAUGCUACUUUCUGCUGCAAUCAGCCUAUUGAUGUGUAAUCCUAGACAAUAUUUUGAGCACGUUAUCUUCUAUACCAAUACUUUGAGCAGUUUAAAUCUCAGCCUCGCAGCUUCAACUAUUUCGCACACUCACUAACAAAACCCCCUAAAGCUCGCCAAUACAAGCAAAACUCUGCAAGAUCACACCAUAUUUCCACGAAUAACUCUAAACCCGUAUGUUUCAACACGACCUACCAAAACAAAGUUUGCAGCUCAAAAGCUAAAAUCUCUCCGAAAUCCAGCGAGCCUUGGCCCCCAAAGCACCUCAAUAGGUGAGGAAAACGAUGACACGCCGGCUGCGCCCCGGUUCCCCAGAAAGACAAGAAGCACCGACCUGUGCCACUGGAGCGCCAUUACGGCGGAGACGAAGCGGACGGAGAUGGCUUCGCAGAGGAAGGCGGCGAGCAUGAAGGCGAUGGAUCCCAGGAAGGGCAGCGCGGCGCGCAGCUCGGCGGACAAGUGGCGAUAGAACGGGGCGCGCGCGGCCGCCGCCAGCGCCGCCCAGAGCGCAGGCUGCAGCCGGUCGUGCCACGCCGGCGAGAGGUCCACGCCCACGUACGCCAGCACCGCGAUGCCCAGCCCGCCGAAGCCGAGGAGCCGCCGGGUCGAGGCCUGCGGCGGCUUCGGCCUCGGUGCCCUCGCCUUCGCCAUGGCCGGAUCGCCCGCGAGGGUCGUCGAGAGGUCACUUGGUCAUGGACUGGUGUCUAGGCAUGCGAGUGGUUCUAGUCGACUGAUUAAUUACGAUGACUAUAUUUAUCCUCCCAAAUUAUUUAUUUAUAUAGAAUACUAUUUUAGUUUAUUUUAUCAACUUUUUUAUCGAUUAAAUGAACCAUGACCGGACACCGGAGUCGGGGACGCUCAAAGCUAGGAGCUCCGACCUCCGAGUGCUAUGUUGGGCUUGGGUGGGCUCGGGCCCGAGCCUACACAACCCAAAACUAGAUUUUACGGGCUUUCUUGGUCACAUUGCAUCGAUUAUUUGAGCACCACAAGAUGGUUUCAAAUAAAAAAGUUUGAAUCGUAGAUUUCAUUGAAAUCGACAAUUACCGUUUAUCUUCGUCCGAGUUCACAUGAAAAGAUUAUGAUUUUUUAAGAUAUGUGCUGCUCAAAGAAGGAAAAUUUCGCCAAUUUAAUUAGGUGUAGGGUGGUCUAAGUUAAAUUCCGCUGUUUCAAUUAGCUAUAGCGAUAUAGAAUUGUAAUUUUUUAAGAAUAUAUGUUUUUGCAAAACACUAAAAUAAAAAAAUAAAAAAGAAAAAAUUCGACGGGCAUAGACGCUCUUGCACUCGACAUCAGCUGCUUCCAAGCUCCUGCCCGUGCUUUAGGCCUGCCACUGGAGAGGGUACGGGCAAACCUACUCUUGUUCACACCCAAAUUCAAAUAAUUAUCAUCUACUCCUUACCCUCCUCAAUCCCAUUCAUAUCCAAUAGAUAAUUAACUUUGUGCUACGUAUGUAUACUUAUCCAAUUAAUUAAUUAUGUCCUUCCGAUACCCUACCCUCUCUAUUUAUACCUGUACCCCUCAAUUGAUAAUUGAUUAAUAGAGAGGGUACGGAUACCCAGCGGUGGGCCUACCGUGCUUUGGGCGGCAGGCCUCGUCCGUCGUCGUCGUCGGUCGGCCGGUGGGCCUCGCCGCGCGUUCGUUGGUGGUCUGGGCUCCUCCUGCUGUGUUGUCAGGCCCAACCCCAACAGCCGUUUCUGUUGGUGGGCUGGCCCAUCAAGAGCCCAACUCCGUAGCCAUCAGCAUCGCUGCUGCUUGUGCUUCUCCGGUUCUCCCCAAGCUCCGGCCGUUUCCAGACUUGCAGCCGCGCCUGCGCCGUCUCUCUCGGUCUCACUCCCAUAAACCCCCAAAACCUCUCCCGGCGGCGCCCCCAGCCCGCCCCCCCCAAUGGCGGUGGAGAAAUCCGGCGGCGCUGCCGCCUCCUCCUCCUCCUCCACCGCCGCCAUGGACCGCUUCCAGAAGAUCGUCCUCAGCUGGGACUACCUCCGCCUCGUCGCCGAAUCCAAGGUACACGCAUCGACCCCGCCCACGCCCACGCCCACAUCCACCUGCCCGCCGAACCACCCGUAACGACGAGCUUAUCAAAAACCCUAACCUUCUCUUGCUUUGGGGCAGGGCGGCAAGCAGGCGAAGGGGCUGCAGCGCGUGAAGGACACGUACAAGUCGGUGGCCGACUACCUCGGCGUCUUCGAGCCGCUGCUCUUCGAGGAGGUCAAGGCGCAGAUCGUCCGGGGGCGCAGCGACGAGGAGGAAGAAGGUAAGGGCGCGGGCGCCUGGGCUGCGCUGCGCUUCUCUCUCGCCGCCGCCCGUUGUUUGCUCUGAUUUCGCUGGUGGGUUUGUUAAUUUGGAUUCUUAAUUCGUGGCUUUGCCUCGUGUGGGUGUAUGCAGAUGCUGGGCUCGACUGGCAGAGGGUGGCGGUGGGCUUGUGCGCGGAAUCCGAGGGGUUCCAUAAGUUCUCCAUGGCGGUGGAGAACGAUUUUCGGGAGAAUGUGGGGGAGAAUGACCUAGUGCUGCUCUCCAAGGAGAAAGUAAGUGCUGUGCAAGUAAAUUCGGCAGUUUAGCUGGUCCUUUUAUGCAAGCAUCAAGGUACUAACUACUGACAAUUUGAUGGGAGGAAAUGUCUCGUAAGUCAAACUAUUUUGUUAUAUAAAGUCAAAACUAUUGUUUUGUAGGUGGCUAUGUGCAUAAUAGUUGAAAAAUCGUAAACCAGGCAUUCUCUAGAUUUGUGUUCCUUAGGGGCAGUAUUACCUUUAGGUACUUAGUUCUUACCUUUUGGGCAUUUUUUUCUAGGAACAGAGCAAAAUGUGCCAUAAGUUAUGUGCAGUGCUUACUCAUAUGAUGAACUGGUGAAUUGCCAAGUACAUGUAUUAUACUCAUGAUGAACUGGUUGUGCCUGCACUUUUGCAGUUUGAGGAGGGAGUGACCCCUACUGCGUACGCCUUUGCAUUGGUGGAACAGCGUGGUGGUAGUGCAACUAUUUCUCUUAGAGCUUUUCUGGCAGGCGAAAUUCAAAAUCUGAAUGUUUCCAAGCCUGUGAACGCUCCAAGGCUGCAGCGUUUUGCUUCCAUUUUGGCAGCUGAGAGCAGCACCCUGUGGAUAUUGAAGGUGUGUCAAAAUUGUUCUGAGACAAGCUCCUGAGUUUUCAUGCCAGCAUUGUUUAUUGACAGCAUGUACUACUUGAUUUGGCAUUUUCUGGUAAAAAUUUUCAGGUCUGCAGCUUGUCAACUAUAAUGCGGGAGUUCACAGCUAUGCAUUCUGUAGCUUCUCUUCCUUUUAAGGACUCGAUUCUUUCAGCUGCUGAGAAGCAUAAGGAUGGUGAUGAUCAAAGUCGUGCGUGGAAUGUCCCUCAGCCACUUAUGGAUCACCUCAAAGCAAAUCUUAAUGAUUCACAGCUAGAGGCAGUCAAUGUGAGCAUCCUUUGUCAUUUUUGGUAUUGUUCAUAUAUCUAUUGUAUCUAAUAUCUGUUUUAAAGGCUGCGACUCUGAUAUAUUACUGUACUGUCUCUAGGCAGGUCUUUCGCGCAGAUCAUUUGUUCUUAUUCAGGUUUGUUAUGUUUUCACUACUACCAUUGAAUUUGCAUUGUUAUUGUUUACCUACCUUGGUUAUGAAAGUACUGUAAUUAUCUUAGCAGUCUUUAGAUAUUUGUUUUUUGUUUAGAAGGCUAUGCAGAUACAACACAUUACACUACUUAGUUUUUGUCCUAGGACACAUUAAGGAGUUAAGAGUAAUGUGCAAUUUACUGAUUUAUGUACUUGUAACUGUUGAUUUGCAGGGUCCUCCAGGAACUGGAAAGACUCAAACUAUCCUUGGACUCCUCAGUGCUGUUCUCCAUUCUGCUCCUGCAAGAAUGAAGACAAAGUAACAAAAUACUUGUUUAUUCGUUUUUCAGUGUAUGGAAUAGUAAUUCUAUUUUUGAGGAUAGAUAAAUCAUCAUGUUUAAAAAAUGAGAGGAGAUAGAACUGAAAUAUGAAGUUUGACUGAAUUUUUUGAAAGCAUAUCCACCCUUUUUUUUUCCCUCUGCACAUUCUUCAUUCAUAGCUAAACUUGGCACAUGCAUCUUGUAUUCUUUUUGAUCCUGUAAUGCAGAGGAGGAUUUGAUGUUCAAAGGCAUGGACCAGAGCUGGACAUUGAUGGCAAGUAUGUUGAAAAUUGCAGAUUUCCUAGUUAAUUUCUGUCAUAUUUAUUUCGACUUUUGGCAUCGAAAUUGGGAGCAUAAAAAGCUGAGUAAGAAUGUCUAACAGCCUCAAUAUUAUUAGUUUUCCUUGCAGUUUUGAAAUGCUCCAUCCUUAACUUAUUUUUCUUAUAGUUCUGCAUGGUUGUUUAAGUCACUAGAAAUUCCUUAGUUUUUGACAUUUCUCUUAUUUUUUGGAUAUCUUAAAUCCACUAAAUGGAACUAGGCCUUGUUGGAAGGAUAUGACUAUUGUUACUUUACACAUGACACCAUCUUCUGUAACCAUCUUUAAUAUCUAACUGGUGCUAUAUGGAAACUGAUAAGAAUAUGAUUUUUCAGUAUACUACUGGUUCCAUUUUUACAUGCACAGUACUACUGCAAUUUUUUCUUGGUGCUAAUAUUGUGAAUUUCACAUGACAGGUAUGCACACUGGGUAAAAGCAUCUCCUUGGUUACUUGGUGCAAACCCUAGAGAUUUGAUUAUGCCUGUCGAUGGUGAUGAUGGUUUUUACCCCACUGGAAAUGAACUGGUACUCUUCUGUUCUGUGUACUUGCUAAAAUUGGUCCUGGUGCCUUGAUUAUUUUACCCCUUACAAGGCAAAAAAAAUUCUUUAUAGAAACCUGAAGUUGUAAGUUCCAGUCGCAAGUAUCGGGCCCAUGUGUUGGUCUGUGCUCCAUCCAACUCAGCACUCGAUGAGAUUGUGUUACGUGUUCUUAACACAGGUAAAUGUUUCGGUGCUAAGUUAUCCAAUACAUAUACUAUGCUCCCAAAACCUUUUUCACUUUUUGCAUCUUAUGCAUUUUGUCACUAAGUGGACUAUACCAUUAGCAUGCAUUAUUUUUUUGCUCACAAAUCAUUAGGAUGCAUCAUGAGCAAAUUAAGAAAUGAAAUAAUGCUUCGUUUUUUAGGAAUUCGAGAUGAAAAUAACAACACUUACAACCCUAAAAUUGUGCGCAUUGGAGUGAAGGCACAUCAUUCUGUUAAAGCAGUUUCUAUGGAUUACCUGGUACGUGAUUUAAGCUGCAAAGCAUUUUCUGUCUAACUUAACUUCUAGCAACUACAAUGAGUCCAUGCCUUUGCAGAUACAACAAAAACUUUCUGGUGUAGAUCGCACAUUAGAUGGUGGGAGACGAGGGGCUGGCGAAUAUGAUCGGAUUAGAGCUUCAAUACUGGACGAAGCGGCCAUUGUACGUCAUCUGCUAUUGUAGUAGUAGAGUUUAUCUAUUAUAAUUUGUUCUCAUUGUGAAGCAAAAUUUGUAGGUAUUUUCUACUCUGAGUUUCAGUGGAUCAUCAAUUUUCAGCAGGAUGAGCCGUGCUUUUGAUGUUGUUAUAAUUGAUGAAGCUGCACAAGCAGUGAGGAUAUCUUUUAAACGUUGCUUUUAUUAUGGAGCAUUUACAUUAUUAACUGGGAUAUUGGCAUAUCCUCUAAGCCUCUAUUUUAAGUAAUAUUUCUGAACUUUACCUUAUAUUCUUGUUUUUCAGGUGGAACCUGCAACUCUUAUACCCUUGGUCCAUGGGUGCAGACAAAUUUUUCUUGUAUGUUGUCCACUUUCGCAUUUGUUUCUACACAUUUUUUUCUUUUCUUUAAGCAUUUCGCUCCCCCUUAUGCAAUAUGUAUAUUAUUCAUUGGUACAGUACCUUAUUAUACGAUAGAAGUCAGGCACCGCACAUGAUAUUUUGAAUAUAUCCUCUUCUCAGGGUUGUAGUACAUAUAGGAACAUUUCUCUCUCUGGGCUUAUGUCCACAUCAUGCUUUCAUUUCUUUGGUGUGCGUGUGUCCAGUCUCACCAUUUUGCUCAAUUUCUAUCACUUAAAAAGUGUUAUAUUAGUAUCUUGGCUCAUGAGUGCACUGACUAUAGCUUUCGUUAGUGAUUCACUAUAGCAUUCACUGUCUCUCCUAAUAUCCUAAUCAGGUUGGUGACCCAGUUCAGUUGCCCGCAACAGUCAUUUCAUCAACUGCUCAGAAAUUGGGGUAAGAUGAUCCUUAUUUUCUUUAUACUGUUCCAAAUUGUUCAGGUGCUGUAAUUGCUAAGGUGAUGCUCUUUUUAUCUGUUAGAUAUGGAACAAGCUUGUUCAAAAGAUUUCAAGGUGCUGGUUUUCCAGUGCAAAUGCUUAAAAUUCAGUAUCGCAUGCAUCCAGAGGUAAAUCUCCCAUCCUCAGCAGCUCAAUCUUUCUUAAGCCGGAAACUGGAAUGGUUUUUGUAAUUCAUUAUUCACUCAAACAGAUUAGUAUCUUCCCUUCAAAAGAAUUUUAUGAAGGGGUACUACAAGAUGGAGAGGGUCUCAGCAAGAAACGCCCAUGGCAUUCCUACACCUGCUUCGGACCAUUUUGUUUCUUUGAUGUUGAUGGUGUUGAAUCCCAGCCACCUGGAAGUGGUUCUUGGGUGAAUCAGGAUGAAGUGGAAUUUAUAACUCUCCUAUAUCAUCAACUGGCAAUGCGCUAUCCAGAACUCAAAUCUAGUUCUGAAGUGGCUGUGAUAUCACCGUACAGGCAGCAGAUGAAAUUAUUGAGGGACAAUUUUCGGUUGACCUUUGGGGAUCAAUCAAAGGAAGUGAUAGAUGUAAACACUGUUGAUGGAUUCCAGGUAACAAACUCAUAUGUAUUUCAUGAAUGGAAUUUCUUUACUUGUCGGCUCUGUGCCUCGUAUAUUCUUGCAAGUAUCAGUGAUGUUGUAUCUCACUGGUUGUAUUUAGGGCCGUGAAAGAGAGGUAGUCAUUUUUACAUGCGUAAGAUGCAACAAGGAGCAAAAAAUUGGGUUUGUUUCUGAUUUUCGGCGAAUGAAUGUUGCCAUCACAAGAGCUAGGUCUGCUGUACUGGUAACUGCCUCUUCUCCAAGCUUUAAACUUUUUUUCUUUAAUAUUUUGUUUUGCACUAUCUGCAGACUGCAGUAACAUUGGUACCAUCUUAUGCAUGAUACUCAUGGCAAGUCUGCACUCAAGGUCUCAACUCAGAGAUAUUAGCAGGUUAUAAAUGUAAUAAUUAAGGAGCUAGGAGGUUACAAAUUUAAUUAUUAAAGGUUACAGUUUAAUAAUUAAGGAGCUAUGUGGCCUAACAAGAUAUAUACAGAAUGGUCCAGAUUCUCUUGCAUGCAUCCAUACAUGUAUAAGCAGCUUGUUCAAGGAUGCUGUUUAAUUGUUCAUGGUUGCAUCCAUCUUCAAGAUUUAGCUGACAUUUAGAAACCCACUUUCUUUGCUCAUGUUUUGUUAUACACUUACACUUGGGUCGUUUACUUGUAAUUCCAAAUAUUAAUCUGCAUACCACAGGUUGUAGGUUCCGCUUCAACCCUGCAGAAAGAUGAGCACUGGAACAAUCUUGUCGAGAGUGCCAAAGAGCGAAACCGCUACUUCAAGGUGCGAUUGCGAUGGGCUACUCUUGUUUCUCAGCUUGAAAGAGCAAAAACAUCUGGAUGAAUCCAAAUUUUGCAUAUCUUGCAGGUUCCCAAGCCAUUCGGUGCAUUCUUUGCUGAGGAUAACCUGGAGACCAUGGCGGUGAAACCACAGAAGGAUCCUCGUCCUCCUGAGCAGAAUACUGAAGUGAUGGAAGGAAUGAAUGAAGCAGCGAUGGGGCGGGAGUUUGAUGCUGCCGACCAAGCAGAUGCAGGGGAUGACGACGAUGCUGAUAUGGAUGCUGAUGAUGGAGGUGGCGAUGACUGAUUGUAGGAUGCCAUAGAGGUGUGGCCUGGGAUAGAGCAAUUGUGUUAGAGAACUGGUACAUAUAAAGGAUAUUAGGGUUUUCUUGGGUGGAUAUGGAUGUUGACGAGGCUUGAAAACAGAAAUUUGGAGCAGCUAUUCUUUUUGUCUUAAUCCAAUUUUGGGAGGAAGAGAUGUCCGGAUGCUUAAGUUACACUACGAACAUUACUCGUUUAUGAGACUGUAGACGUGUCAGAUACAUCUUUCUUGCGUACGUUUUCCACGUCGCAUUUGUGCACCUCAGAAAUCAGUUUGCCAUGCCUUAGAGAAAUAAUACAAGUUUAUUUUGAGGAAGCAGAAUGGCAGGCGUCACGUGCCGCUGCACCUGCACAUGUAACCGUGAGUCAUGACCUUAAAAGGGAGUCAAGAGUGUCCAUCAGCCAAACAACAGAAUUUAAGCACACAGACAACAAGUGGCGGCGCUCUCGUGAGUGAUGAUGUUUUUGAGUAUGAGGUGAAGAGUGUUUUGUGGGAUUGGGAGGCACCGGAAUUCCUGGCUGUAGAAGGCGGUACUGAGCCACUGUCCAUUAACCCAUGCUAACCUGCAGUUCCAUUGGAUGAGACGAUAGACAGGUGCCAGUACUCCGAUAGACAUCUCUAGGCUGUGACACCAAAUCACAACUACGGAGACGUUGGCUUCCCCUUCCUUACGCCGCUGCUCCAUGUAGCAUUGGAAUUGAUUGUUCUUUUAGAUGGACAGGCAUGAUGGGUCUUCACCUUCAGCUUCUUUACGCCAAGUCGAUACCCAAAUGGGAGGACCCCCUCCAGAUAGUCGCACCACCAUUGGCCGGCGCUCUCCUCCAACGAACCUUUGCGCAUUGGCCUCCAUGCCAUCGAGCAUUUCCAUAUCCUCCUGAUCACCAUUGUUAUGUCCUUCCAGCUCUGUUUAUGAAAAUCAUGUCAUUACGAAUUAGCCAAUGGAUUGUGUCCUUGUUAUCCGGAACCCCUAGCUAAUGCUAUUUUACUUUUGCAACCGUCAUAAUUAAUGUGUAAGGUCACGCCCUGCUUUUAUCCCAGAUUCACGGUUCAACAACCUGUUCAAUGCCAAAUGUCUCCAUGGCUCCCAAGAGUAUGGGGAAGCAAGAGCUCUGCCCAAUCACUACUAGAAAGAAAUACUAGAAAUAUGAACAUUUGUCCUUAACGUCAGUACCGGACAGCUUUUCAUCCGGUACUAACGGGCGAAAUUAGUACUGGUAUAAUUUCUCGAUCCUCGGAGGUUUUAGUACCGGUCAGUGUUAUUACCCAGUACUAAAAGGCCUCGACCAUUUAGUAUCGAGCAAUAAUACCAGUACCCCGUAAAGUACCAUUUAGUACCGGUCAAUAACACCAAUCAGUACUAAACAUUUAAUACCGAUAGGCCUCUCCACGGGUUACCUCAAAAGGAAAAUAUUACCGGUCAGGCGUCCGGUAAUAAAGGGUUACUGACCGGUACUAAAAGUCACUUCCCAGCAGUGAAUGGUGGAGCUAGAAAAAAAAUAUGCACCAAUUCACACCGCAUGUACAUUACUAUGGUAGAAAAAAAUGUAGCACAAAAUUAAAGGAGUAAUAACACAACCUCAAAUUUGAAGAACAAAUUUGCAAAUACGCUAUACAUUGUAAAAUACAAAACAUAUUGCGGAUCGUCUGAUAUUGCUUUGUGUAGUACUGCCAGCUGCCGCUCCUCCUCUAUGUGCUCGCAGCUCGCGCAGUCGGCCGCCAACACUACUGCCGCGCUUCAAGACCUUAGAAGGGAGUCAAGACUGUCCAUCAGCCAAGCAACAGAAUGAGCGCGCACAAACAAAAAAGCGUGGAUGAGCCAAGACGCCGUUGUGCAUGAGGUGAAGAGUGUGUAUCAUGGGAUUGGGAGGUAUUGGAAUGCCUGGCUAUACAGUACUGAUCCGAGCUAGCCACUGCCUGCCAUGCCCAUGUUAAUUUGUAGCCUCGUUCGAGGGAUCGGCAUCGAGAAGCAUUCCGUGGGCCGUGACAACACGCUUCCCAUUCGUUGCGUUGCACUGCUCCGCAUCGCGUCGACAUUGAUCAUGUCCUCUGUUCUCGGGGCUUGCACAAGCGCUCAACCCUCCGUCAGUCGCAGGAUUGGGACGGAGUAAGCUGCCGCCCUGCUUCAUCCCCGAUUCCGGUUCGACAAGCUGUCCCCCAAAUAUUGCACAGUAACUACCUCACCGUCCGAUUAGGAAUAGGUGCACCGAGAGUUUGUCGGCGGUUCCAGAAAAGCAUAUAAAAAAACAUGUUGGGGACGGGCGGACGGCUAAUUAAUUCUGGCUCAUGGUUUGUCGUUUCCAAAACAAAAUACUUCCGUCGGAACGAAUGUGAGCUACUCCGCAGUAACUGGCUAACUGCAGGUUGGAGGUUGGUCAUUUUUGUUUCAGUCUUGUCUUUCGCAAUUGGAUCCGUUAGCAACAGGGCAGACCCAAUCCAACACACUAGCUAUAAUUUCCAUAAGCUCUACGUCGACAAGAAAUAGGUACUAGACACUACUUUUCUGUAGCGAACAUAGUCCUAUUAGAUCAUAGUUUGUGAUGAUUGAGUUACAACAUGAUCAUUGGGACUAAUGAUUUGUUUAGAUUACAUUGAAGGUUUUCUAGUCAUAAGGAAGCAAACCACAAAAAAAACCACGCGAAGAAAUGAAGAUUUAUCCACCGAUGCAAUGCACUGACUCAUUCGGUGAUGGCAAGAAACACCACUGAAUCAGUCGGCGAUAUGAUGCGCACAAGCUAAUUGGGACCAUCGGAUGAUCCUUUGGGUGCCAGACUGAGGCAUCGGGCCAUCCAAUGACCACAAUGGAAGUUGGCUGAAGGGAUGCGUACCGAAUGAUCCGACAGCCAUUUAUUUGUACCCAUCGAUUUGGGCAAUGAAGAAAAUGAGAGGAGCACUGGAUGAUGUGAUACUAUGCCUAUGCGUCGAUGAACAUCGGACGAAGCAAAUUUACUUUGUGUACUUCGAGAGAGGUUUUGGGCGAAAAUUCUUCAGCACUGGAUGUCGGAGGCAUCAGAUGAAGCACCGGAUGAAUCGGUGCAGCAAAUCAGUCGAUGGAAUGCGUCGGUGAGGAAUUUUGGGCGUAGGGAGGUCUAUGGCUAGUUGCACCGGAUGUUCCGAUACCUCUAAAAUGUAACCGUCGGAACAUCCGAUGGUAUAUUUUAACUAGCUGUUGGAGCAACGGCUCUUUGAAGUCUGGGGGCUAUUUAUACCCCUACCACUCGCUCAUUUAGAGUUGCUGAAGUGUCCAGGAGUGCAUUCAAGACCACAAGACUCAUCAAGAACACAUCCGUGCUACCAAAAAUGAAAAAGUGAUUGACCUAAGGCUUAACACAUACUUAGAGAAAUAAUUAGUGCUAGGAUAGACCUAGAGAGAGUGAGUGCAAGGUGCUGCUACCUUGUGAUUGGUUUACGGAGUGAACCACCAUUGUAAGCUUCGUGUGCUGGCGUCUUAGAGUCUUGGUGGCUUGCCGGCAAGUCUUCGACCCUCCAUCUUGGUGUGGAGCGACGACGAUGACCAUGUGCGGGGGACGAGAAGACCCCUUCCUUCGUGGAGAAGUUUCGUAGUGAAGAUGACAUCAAGGUGACCGGAAGAGAGGGACUGGUGAGCCUUGCCUUAGUGGCAAGCUUCUCAUCCAGCUUGGCGAGAGCCUUUGUGACGAGUCCAAGACCUUGACCGGGAGAGAAUUGGUGACCGGGAGCAUAUCCUUGAUGGAGCUUCAACGUGGACUAGGGGUGGCAUUUGCCUACUGACAUCAUGGGAUAAAUCAUCGUGCCGAAUUUGCCUCACCUUCCUAACCUACUCAUUCACGUUUCCGCAUUUCGUACUUCCUACUUGAGGGCAUUUACUUACUAGAGUAGUAUCUUGAUAUAGGAUUGGCUCUAAGUUGCAAAACUCUUUGUGGGAGGGAAGUUUCACUAGAUCAACUAUAUUUGCACAUCUAAACAACAUGAUCCAGUUUAUGUUUCUAGUAGAAGCCAUAAGCUGAGGAUUUUAAGUUUGCCUAAUUCAUCCCCUCCCUCUCGUAGGCUACGAGCACUGAUUUCUUGUAUCUUCCAAUGUAGACACCUUUAUUCCAUACUUGAAUUUAAUACUACUCAUCUCUUAUUAUAUCUUGGAUGGUGUGUAGAAACUAGAUCUUGGUUUUUUCUCUUUCUUCAUUUAUGCCACAUCAUCUUUUAUUCUAAGUGGCAACUCAUUUAAUUCUAUGGACACCAUCCUAGUCAUCGGAUUGGGACUGCCUUGUAGGGUGGUGGUGUCUUCUUUUUAGCAAGUGUUCUCUCUCUCAUAUUAAGGCCCCCGGCUUCUCCUCCCAAAGACGACUCAGGGCUCGUUUGUUUGUUCCGAAGAGUCGGAGAAGCAACAGCUCUCCCAAAUGGGUCGUAAAAGCACAUUUUGGCUUCUUGAACUAUCACAAAAGGUACACAAUGGACAUUAGUUAUUAUGAGAUCGACUGCAAAAGUGACAGCUAGACCACGUCUCUUACUUACGUCUUCCGUGUUGCAUUAUUGCAUAUCAAAAACCCAUUUUCCAGUGGUUAUAAAAAUAAAUAAUUGGAGGCAACAGAACGGCAGCAAAUUAAAUAUGUGCCCUGCACAUGAGUCUGCGUUAUGGCAGCUGCACGUACGCUCGCACGACUGAUAAAAGGGGGCCAAGGGUGUGUCCUGUCGAGUCGGAUCGCCUCUCUAUCUCAACAAGCACAAGGACACAAUAGAACACGAGAACAAGUACGAGGGACAAAUCUUUAUUACUGAAUUGGAUGAUUUACGAUAAAAAUCUUCCUCGUAUAUAUUCUUCAAACCUAGCUUAAAGUUUUAGUAAAAACCUACGAACAACUAGGACUAGGACUUCUAGUCCUUCCUUUCCUUCCAGGAAUCUCAGCUUCCAUAUUCUGAGAUUGAGUCCUGUUGUUUUACGACAUGUCCAUCUGCCAAGCACCAAAAUACGCGUGCACACACAUAGAAGAGAGAGUGCCGAUGAGAAGUCUGCUCUCUCUCGAGAGGGAGAUUGAGGAUGCCCUUUGGGCACGAGGUGGUGAGUGCAUCAUGAGUGCAUCAUCUGUGUGGGAUUGGGAGGCACUGGAAUACGAGGCUAUACAAUGUAGGGAUCCGAAUCUCUGAUUCUACCGAUGUUAAUCCGGAGUCCUGUUCAAUGGGCCAGAAGAGGUCCUAAUCCUGCAAAGUUCUCUAGUUCAUGAGGCGGUGAUGUUGGCUUCCCUUUCCUUCGUCGGGGCCGCACUGCAUCGCUAGAGACCUGAGCCAGUCUUCUGUGUUGUCCGGUGCCUGCACAAGCACGGCAGAAUGCUCCGCGUUGUCCUAGCUGAACGGUGGCACGAUGGAGGUGUAGUAACCGUAUCUCACAGGGAGCUGAGCGUGCUGUUCUUAGCAUGGUUUUCCCUAUGCUGCCGGUCACUCAUGUAUGCACAUGGUGUAUUGAACCUAAUAAUCUUUCAUUCCCGUACCAAAAUGUGUCAUCCACUGGGUGUAGGGGCACCAAGUGUUGUCAUUUAAUUUGUCGGUGGUUCCAAUGAUCUUGCUCAAGACCAUGAAGGUGUUGAAAGGGUUCCUCCUCCGGAGGUGAAUGCUCAAGCGCUGGAAACGAUCAACGAAGUUGUCAUAAGGCUAUGGUUUUAUGUCUUUACAAGAGGCUCUGCAAGCACUACUGCUCCAAAGAGCGAAACUUCAAGUUCAAGGUGUGAUUGUGAUUGCUUCCAUGUUGUUUCUCAGCUUGAAACAGCAACAGCAUUUGGAUCAAUAAUCCAAACUACGCGCAUCUUGCGAUUCGUUUUCUCUUAUCCAAUUUUGGGAGGAAGAGACGUCCGGAUGCCCAAGUUACGUUACAACCACUGUUUAUUUGAGAGCGUAGGAAGUGAUGCACGCUUCUUGUGUACGUUUUCCACGAUGCGCGUCAUGACUCACGACCUUAAAUGGGAGUCAAGAGUACCCAUCACCCAAGCAACAGAAUGCGCGCGCGCGCACACACAAAAGAGCGCUAAUGGGAAGUGGUUGCGCUGUCGUGAGCGAGGAUGUCUUUGUGCAUGAGAUGAAGAGGGUAAAUCGUGGGACUGGGAGGCACUGGAAUCCCUGGCUAUACAGGAUGGAACAAAGUCACUGCCCAUCAACCCAUGCUAAUCUGGAGUCAACGGAGUGACUGAGAGGUCCCAGUACCCGAGAAGCAUUCUCUAGGCUGUGCCACCUCAUAGUCAUUGCGUUCCCCUUCCAUUGAAAUUGAUUUGUGUCCUGUGUUGUUCGGAGCUUGCACAUGCACAAGUGGACAACCCUCUACCAGUUGCAGGAUUGGGUGGUGGCACUGGCUAAUGUUGUUUUUCGUUCUUCAAUAGCCACAGUUGUGUAAGCUUCUGCCGUAGAAUACCAUGCUUCAUUUUAUCCCGGAUUAAUUCUUGGUUCCACAAGCUGUGUUCACACAGUUCCAAAUGUCGCUCACAGAGGCUAUUACUUGACCAACCGUACCAAAAUGCUACCAGGUGCUCGAAGAGUUCGUCAUUUGUUUGGGACGGCUGUCGCAUAGUUGGUUUGUCUGUCUCCGAAGUCCAAACAUAUCACUUGUUGGCCGUACUUGUCAAUUGUCAUCGCAACUCGCAAAUGUGCGUGCUGUUGUUCUGUUUCGAUCCUGUUGCAGGUUGGAUCUAUUAGUGGGUGGUCCUGUCUCCUUCCACAAAGUAUUCUCUCUCCUUUAUAACAGUCUAUAAAAUUACACUAUGAACGUUUAUGUAUUAUGUCCUUUUAAAAACAUUAAUUAAUUUUUAUGGGACCGCAGAAGUGAUAAUAAACCGACGGCAUCUCUUAUGUACGUUUUCCGUGCCACAUUAGUGCCUGUCAUAAAAAAACCAUUUACCAUUGGUUAGAGAGAUGAAAGUUUUGAAGCAGCAGAAUGGCACAUGAGACCACGCUAUGACAGAGGUUGCAUGGCCGAUAGAUCAUCGUGACCAUAAAAGGGUGUGACCUGCUGGCAGUGGCGGAGCCAGCAUUUGCAAGUUGGGUAUUCCCAUUUUCUAUGGAAAAAAAAAUCUAGGAAGCCAUCCACACUAAUUUUCCAAAGUCUUCAAAUAUCUAUAGAAAGAAAAUUAUACACACUAAUUUACUAAUUCGCACCAUCGAUUAUGCUGCAAAAUUGGUGCUCACAUAUAACAUGUUCUAUCGCUCUUUUGCCAAAGUUGAGUUAAGCCCCUGCUGCUGCCUUCCAUGCACGAUUGCGUUGUUCAGCUGCUGCUGCGCCUGGGACAGUUGUGUUGUUCGGCACCCGGUCAUCCCCUUGUGGCGCGGACUUAGCUGCCUGGCACAUCCAGCAUGCGGCCGGUCGGCCUGCCGCCACAUGGUGCUUGCCGCCUCAAGGACUCCAAGCGGAGCCCGCCGGCUUGUGCUCACCGACUCGUUGCGCCCGCCACUCGCCAGGCCGCUAGACCUUUGGUUCGAUUCAGUUUUGGGGUAGGGCAACGACAAGGAGAGGAGUGCAUGUACAUCGCUGUGUGCACCGUGCGUUGUGGCGAGAGUGCUAGCCUGCGAGGAGAACGACGAGAGGCGGAGAGAAGUGGGAUGUGUGGGCUGUGGACUGUUCUGAUGGCAGGCAGGGGAGGGUGAAAAACGCUGGCUGGGUUGGUGUGGCACUUUGGGCCGAUUUAUAACUUAAGAACCAGAUAUUACAGCCCAAUAUAGUAUCUACAUAUGUAUACACUUGAUUUAUACUGGUCUUUUGCAAAUUGCAAAACACUACUGGAAACUCAGUAUCGUCCCAAGACUCAGUACCAGUUGCAUUUUGAUCUGUACUAAUGUGAGCAUUAGUACCAGGCUUAACGGCUAGUCCCCGAGGAGCCCCCGUGUACCGGGUGGAAGCUUCACCCGGUACUAAAGAUCACCCAUUAGUACCAAUUGAAGCCUCCAGCCGGUACUAAUGUGCAUGAGUGCCUUUAGUACCGGGUGGAGGCUUGACCCGAUACUAAUGACCUUUAGUACCGGGUGACGCCUCCACCCGGUACUAAAGGGGUACCUCUCCUCACGCAUCAGCCCCCCUUCUCUCUCUCACCCCACACUCACCCCCAUCCCCACACUUGUCCGCUCAUCCCCUCAUCCGACCUCUCACCCGCGCCUCUCUCUCUUCUUCUCCCCGCCGAAUCCCCUCUCUCCCCCCUAGCUAAAUCCCCUCUCUCUCUCCCACACACAGAUCCCAUCGCUACCCCUCACCUCUUACAUGUGGUGAGGACCGGCGGUGGGGCAAGGAGUGACGAAGGCAAGAAGGGAGGGCGCGGCGAGGCGGUGAAGUGUCGGCAGGGCGGCGGCGGGGCCAGGAGCGGCGGAGCUUCGGUGGGAGGGCACGGCGGCGGAGCGUCGACAAGUGUGGUAGAGCAAGGAGUGCGUGGAUCUUGGAGUAACGACCACCUUUGCCUCAAAUCUGGCAGCGGCGGCAACCGACGGGCUAAGGAGCAGCGGCGGCGGCAACCGGCGGAGGUGGCUGAGCAGCGUAAGUACGCUGCCUCCCUCUCCCCUCUCUCUCUCUGGUGCGGGACUUCAGCGCUCGAGCGGAUGGUGGUGGGGUGCGGCUGGGGCUCCGGCGCUUGGGCGGACGGUGGCGGGGUGCGGCAGGGGCUCCAGUCAACGGAUUUUUUUUAUUUUUAAUACCCCUUUAGUAUCGGUUAUUUGACCUGAUACCCCCUUUAGUACCGAAAUAGCAAUACCAGUUGCACAACUGGUACUAAAGGGUGGUUUACACCCGAUACUGAAGGUGCAUUUCCCAGAAGUGAAAUUUGGGUAUUCGUGGCACCAUGCUGCCUCCGCCCCUGCGUGCUGGCCGCUGCAAGGAUCAACAUGCACACAACCACAUUGAUGAGACAUGAGAGAGUGCCGAUGAAGGUCGCUGGGUUCUCGAGAGGGAGGGAGGAUGACCUUUGUGCACGAGGUGACGAGGAGUGUAUCACACGCAUGGGAUUGGGAAGCACUAGAAUUAGAAUUUGAGGCUAUACUAGUAGUGUUUUGGCCACUGCUCAUGUUAAUCUGGAGGUCUAUCUGAUGGACCAGCAAAGGUCCCCAGUUCUGUGUAGUUCUCUGGAUCAUCAUGACAGAACGGGGAUGUUGGUAUCCUUCUCGUUCAGCUACGCUGCACGGUCUCGAAAACUAUCAAGUCGUGUGCUGUCCGGGGCCUGCAACAGCACAAGCGCACAACUCUCUGUAAACCCAGCUAGAUAGUGCCAUGAAGGCUGGUGUGGUACCUCACCGGAAACUGGGGAUAUUGCAUCUUUUCUUAGCAUGGUUCUUCCCUGUCUCACCAAAGCAAUGAUAUUCUGAGACCUGAGUGCUGCCACAGGUGUGAGGUGUCAUGCUUAAGGAACUCACAUGGGGCUCCUCAUACAAUUCAAAACUGACACUAUUUUCCCUUUUGCAUGACAACAAAGAGUAAUAGUCGUGUAAAGCUUCCGUAGUAGAAAGAAUACCAUGGUUGAUGAGUCAAAUAAACACUAUUUUUUUUGUUAUACCAUCGAUUCACUAAAUGAACACCGCAAGGUUCAGUGCCAAAUGCACUGUCAGUGUCAAAUGCACUUCACCAACCAUACUACUUAUCUUUCAUUCCCAUGUCAAAAUGUAUCAUCCACUAGGUGUAGGACCACCAAGUGUUGUCAUUUAAUUUGUGGGUGGCUCCAACUGUUCAACAAAUGAUCUAGCCAAAGAAUAUAAAGAUGGAAAUGGUUCCUCCUCUAGAUCUGAAUUCUCAAGCACCAUUUGUGCGCUUCAAAAACCAAUUUCUCACGGCUUGGAGAAAUACAAGUUUAUUCUGAGAAAGCAGAAUUGUAGUAGUCACGUGCCGCUGCACAUGAAAUGACGCGUCAUGACUCAUGACCUUGAAAGGGAGUCAAGAGUAGUAUCCAUCACCCAAAGAAAUACAAUGAGCAAACACACAUACAAAAGAGCGCUAAUGGGAAGUGGUCGCGCUCUUGUGAGUGAGGAUGUCUUUGUGCAUGACGUAGAGUGUAAACUGUGGGAUUGAGAGGCACGGGAAUAUAAUUCCUGUCAACGCCAAUCAACCCCCAUGCUAAUCUGGAGUUCUGUUCGAAGAAGCGACAGAGAGGUCCCUGGUACCCGAUAAGCAUUCUCUAGGCUGUGACACCACGAUGCCACCUCAGACGUUGCGUGCCCCCUUCGUUGCACCACUGUCCUGUGUUGUCCGGGGCUUCCACUGGCACAUGUGCACAACCUGUCCCAGGAUUGGGAUGGUGGCACUAGAAUUCCUGGCUAAUUUUAACUUUCUUUUUGCAGGAGCCAUAGUUGUGUAAGCUUCCAUAGUAGAAUAACAUGCUUUAUUCCAGAUUCUUGGUUCACAAGCUGUUCAUAGCCAAACGUCGCACACAGUAGCAGGCUGGGCCUAUUAGUGGGUGGGCCUGUCUCCUUCCACAAAGUACUCUCUCUUUUUUAAAAGUCUAUCUUGGCUCCUGAACUAUUGCAAAAAUUACACUGUGGACAUACAUUAUUAAUUAUUAUGCAUGGAACCGCAGAUUUAAUAGACAGGCCGCAUUUCUUAUGUACUAUUGGUUAGAGAAGUUCAAGUUUGGAGGCAGCGAAAUGGCAGCAAACAUGUGCCGUUGCACAUGAGACCACAUUAUGGCAGCAAUUGCAAUCAUCAUGACCUCAAAACUAAAGGGGGUCAAGGGUGUGUCCUUCUAGCUGCUGCAAGCAUCACAAUUCACACAACCACACCGAGGAGAGAGUGCCGGUGCAUGAGAUCGAGGUCGCUGGGCUCUCGGGAGGGAGGGAAGAUGGCCUCUGUGCAGAGGUGACGAGGUGUGGGAUUGGGAGGCACCGGAAUUCGAGGCUAUACGGCGAAGAUUGUUGGGGCUGCCUAUGUUAAUCUGCAGUCCUGUUCAAUGGACCAUGAGAGGUCCCAGUUCUGCAGAGUCCUCUGGGACGUAAUGACAUCAUGGGGAUGUCUGCUCCCUUUUCCUUUGGCUGAGCUGCACCGUCUCGCAAACUGAUCAUGUCGUGUGCUAUCUGGGGCCUGCACAAGCACAUGCUCAUAGCUCUCUGUAAGAACCAGCUAGAUGGUGCCAUGAAGGCUGGAGUGGUGCCUCACCAGAAACUGGGCUUAUUGCAUCUUUUCUUAGCAAGGUUCUUCCAAGUCUUACCUCCUCCCAUAGAGCUGAAUUCUCAAGCGCCAGAAGCAAUCGAUGAAGUUGUUGUAAGCCUCAAAUUAACGACUUUACAAGCAUGUUAUGGUUGGUGGAAGAGACUCUCCAAGCAACACAGCUCCAUCUGUUUUUGGCAUUUGCAUAUGUCUCAGCUAGCCUACAAUGGGUACCUUAGAUCGAAUUGCAAGAAGAUUUGCAGACACUGAGAGAUCACGCAGACAAAAAUAACACCUUGUGCUAUACCUCUGGGAGGUUAGCUGAAUACACUUCACGAAUGUUCUACAAAUUUAACCCAGACAUUCUCUCUUCUUCUUAAAUGAAUAAGCAGUGCUCCUGCUUUAUUUCAAAAAAAAAUAUUCUAGAAAUUUAGCUUUGGCUCAAUGUCUACACCAAAACCCUUGCAUGGAUUUGGCAGAGCAAAUAAAUGCACGCCACGGCAAAUUUUGUGCUUGACUUCUUCUCAAUGACAGGCUAUACACGAGAAAUGUUCUUAGGAGGAGAAAGACUUUCCUACAGCCUGGAUACAUUAUUGUGUCUCGUGCAUGGGUGAUAUGGAGGAAACUUUGCCGCACAUAUUUUUGAAUGCUCCACAAGUGUUUGUUGUUGGUUUGCCAUUGGCAUUCAGUGGAGCACACAGCUGAACCUAAUGCAUAUGGUCCUAAAGACAAAGGAAAAGUUUCGAUCGGGCUUUCUUCAUGGGAAUUUUUGUAAUUGUAUUAGCGUGUGUGCAUAUGGAAAAGGAAUAUCUUAAUCUUUGAAGGCAAGUUUCGGAGCAUGGGUACAUGGAAAGUAGCUAUUUAGGCAUGAGAUUAUCCUGCAUUUAGCUAGGAGAACGUUUGUGUUUCAUCUCACUAACGCCACAUGGCCAGAUGCUGCAAUUUGAUUGCUUGUUUUUUCUAUUAGCACCUUGCUAGCCUCAUGAUUGCACAUACUCCUGCUAGUUACAUACUCCUGGUAGGAGCUCAUGAAUGUCGAUGAUGCCAACGACCAAGCAGAUGAAUGGAUGAUGACAAUGCUUCCAUGACAGCUUCUGAUGAAGGUGGAGAUGAUUAAUCGUGUGCUAAUUAAUAACUAGAGCAAUCGCAUUGGAGAAACCGGUAGGCUUUCUUAUUAGGACGGCGAUUGCAUUGGUUGAAGCACUUAGGUCCCACGCGGGACUCUGAGCCACCAUUUACACGGGAACGGAAGUGGCAGAGGAUUUCAUUGUGCUUGUGCAAGCCCCUGACUCCAGAGAACAGGAUCAUCCCCAGACUCCAUGGGGAUACAGCGCAGUGCAGUGCGGUGCAAGGAAAGGGAAUCCAACGUCCGUGGUGGUUGGACCAGAGAAUUAUGCAGCAUUGUAUCCAUAAUCUCCUGUUGCAGCAGGGCUCUAGAUGAACAUGCGCAGCCAAUGCCAUACAAUCUGUAUAGCCCGGAAUUCCAGUGCCUCCCAAUCCCAUGAUACACUCUCUUCACCUCAUCCACAAAUUAAAGGGUAUCCUCCCUCUACCUCUGGAGAGCGCAGCCAACCACUUCUCAUAUGCAGGCUGCAGUUUGUGUGCGCGCGCAUUUUGUUGCCUUGUUGAUGGACGACACCCUCUUGACUCCCUUUUGCGUUGUUUUUAACUAUCAAACCCUAAGGCUAGUGCAUGUCAACAUACAAGUUCUUAAUGAAAAUAAUUUAUAAGUUUUUUAUACAUUGCGGUAUGCAAUUUACAAUACGAAAAAUAUUUAUUAUAGAACUGAAUAUGUGGCUUCUCUCUGUAUGUGCUUUCGGUUUCGGAUACAGAUCUUCUGCGAACAUUUUCCUUUCGGACACAGUGAAAUUUCCUAACUAGCGCGCAGUAUCCAAUUCUUUGACAUGCACUGACAUUAGGCGAAGGUAACAUACCGAGGUUUUAACUGAAGCAAAUUGUAUAUGCUUGCUAACUGAGAAGGUUACACUUUAAAAACCAUAUGCUACUGGUUAGAGAAAUAAAGUCUGCAGGCAGCACAGUGCCAGAAAACACAUGCUGUCAUAGUGUCAUGCAUGCAUGAGGCCGCUGCAUGAUCUUGGAAGGCUUUUAAAAGGGACUCAAGAAUCUGUCCAGCACCCACGCAAUAACAAAAAACACACACAGAGAUUGGAGCGAACUGGCCUGGUGAGAACCGAGAACGAAGCAGCCACAAGGGACGAUGCCUUUGUGCACGAGGGGCGGAUGGUUACCUUAGAUCGGGUAUGGGUGGCACCAGUGUUGGAAAAAUUAGGAGAUCAAGCUGAAUGAAGUCAGUGCCCAUGCCAAUCUUGAGUUCCGAUGGAUGGGGCCAGCGAGAUCAAGCAGUCCAACCAGUGCUGCAGAGUUUUAGGGUGAGAUCAAGCAUUCCAAUCAGUGCUGCAGAGUUUUAGGGUGAGAUCAAGCAUUCCAACCAGUGCUGCAGAGUUUUAGGCAGUCCAAUCCAUGUCUGCAGAGUCCAAGCAGGCUUUAUGGAUCGACGUGAGAAUACAGUGAGAUAUGGAUAGUUCAUCGAGGAGGAAUCGUUUCUUUGUAAUGUAGUUUCAUUUACUGGAACUUUUAACAUAUAAAGAAGAAUCUUGAAGAACGUUUGUGCGGUGCUUGUUCUUGUAACUAUGAACCAAUAAGAAUGCGAUUAUUUAUCUGCAUAAAUGUGCACUGGUCCAUCAACCCGUACUCCCGCAUGGGCUAAUAUUUUUAGAAGCUAUUGUAUUUAAAAAUUAUUUAGAAAUUAAACUCUUAGCUAAUAAUCAAAAUUGCUUACCUACUACUCUCUUAUUUUUCCAAUACUUCAACAUAAUACUUAUAUACCUAUCUUUGUCCAGUUGUGAUUGAUUUUUAAUUAAUAAUUACUCUAUGCACUUUUUCAUCCAUAUUCAUACUUUUUCCAUUUUGUAUCACACCUCCAAUCCUCCAUACAUUAUGUUUAGCAUACAAAUCAAUGUUUUUCAUCGAUUCCGCAUGUAUAUGUAUAAAUGGUCUAAAUGGUGGCACUCAUCAUGUGUAUAUACUUUAACUUAGUAUUUUUUAUAUUAACAAUGACAUAAAUAGGUAAUUUAGAAUCAUAUAUUAGUUUACUUUUUAACAUUUAUAUAUGAUCAACAUGAAGAUAAUUAGAUUAAGAUUUAGAUGUUUACUUUAGGUUAUUUUUAAUAACGACAUACGUGGGUGGCAUAGAUAAAAUUUUAGAAUGACAUUUUAAGUUAUGUUUUAUAAUGAUGUGUAUUAAUAAAUUGGACGAAGAUUAUGAGGUUACUUUAGAUUAUGUUUUAUAAUAGCUGAGCUCGGUAAUUUAGAUAUAGGUUUAGAGCUUAUUUUUUAAUAUUUUCACAAUGACAGUGGUGGGUAACUUUUUAGAAAAUAUAAUAGAUCAAUGGUUAUAAUUAUUAGAGUUUAUAGGAUUGGUGUUUGAUGUUUUUAAUUUUUAUGAGAAUUUCUCUCUUUUUUUUAGGUUGUCUUGUGGGAACUAAUGCGGAGUCUCCAAUGGAAAAAGAAAUGAGACUACAUUGCUACAAAACUAUUACCAUAGGCUACUUCUCAUUUGUUAAAUAUUUGAACACAAUACUUAUGUAGAUAUAUACUUAAUAUCUUCGUCCAAAUAGAUUUUAGUUAGUAAUUACUCUAUAAUAUUUCCAUCCACAUUUAUAAUCUUUAACUUUUCACUUUGGAUCGCAGGUAUGCACUUGAAUUUGUUUAAUGAACCCUAAGUUUGAGAUAAAAUUUUAGCAUAGAAAUCUAUAUUCCCAUUACUUUAUAUCCUUAUAAAUGGUGACACAUAUCAUGCAUAUAGACCUUAAUUAUUAUAGUGUAUACUAAUAGUGCAAGAUAUAGACGAUUUUGAAUCAUAUAUUGUUGUAUAUUUUUAAUUAAGGUUAUUUGAUUCAAACGUAGGGUUACCUCAUGUUAUUUUUAAUAAUAGCAUGUGUGGGUAAUAUAGAUGCAAAUUUAAGGGGUUACUUUAAGUUUUUUAAGUAAUAGUGGUAGGCAAUUCAGUUGCAAAUUAGGGGGUUAUUUUAAAUAUUGUUUAUAAUGGCAUAAGUAGGUAAUUUUGAUGAAGAUUAGGGGGUUACUUUAGUUUAUUUUAUAUAAUGGCAGAUGUGGGUAAUUUAUAUAUAGAUUUUGGGGUUACUUUAGGCUAUUUUCAUAAUGGUAUAGGUGGGUAAUUUUUUAGAAAAUAUAAUAGAUCCAAUGGCUAUGAUGAUUUGAAUCUAUCGAUCGAUGGUCGGAUGUUUUGCUUUUUUGUGAGAAUUUAUAGAAUUCCUCUCUUUUUCUAGAGUGUCCAUCUUGGAAUCCUAGGUGGCUUCACCUGAAGGUUUCAAAAGGAGCCUCCAAUUAGUAAUAGUAAGAUUGUCAUCUACUGAAUAAUUCAGACUUCAAUUUCCUGAAUUACUCAGUUAUCAGAAUGGUGCUCUUGGGGCUCUAGGUUCUUCUCAAUUCUUAUUUUUGCAGUCUCAAUUCUAGUACUUUAACGUUCUUGGUACUGGUAGCUCAUCAAAUAUAUGUGUUUGGGGAAGAUUGCCCGAUAUGAUAUAUAUAUAUAUAUAUAUAUAUAUAUUAUAGGUGUCACAAGUGACAAGCAUAGUGAAACUGUUUGAUAUGAGCCUGAAAUUUACAGCAGUCAUGUACUACCUUGUCAUGUGUAGAGAAUGGCAGCAGGUCACGUGGCGCCUCACAUAAAACCACAGGUCAUGACUCAUGGCCUUAUAAGGGAGUCAAUAGGAUUGUCCAUCCGCCAAGCCGCCAAGCAACACAAUACGCGAGCACACAGACAACAGAGCCGAUGAGAAGUGGUUGCGCUCUCAUGGCUGAGUGAGGAUUCCUUUGUGCACGAGUUGAAGAGUGUGUGGUGGGAUUGUGAGGCAUCGGGAUUCAUGGCUAUACGUGACGGAACCGGGCCACUGUCCAUCAGCCCAUGUUAAUCUGGAGCUCCAUUCCACAGAGUGACAGAGAGGUCCCAGUGCUCCAUUCCACAUGACCACCUAGCCGACAUUGGCUUCCCCUUCCUUGCGCUGCACUGCUCCGUGUCGCAAUGAAAAACGAUGUGCCAUGCCCUUGUAGCAUACCAUGCUCUAUCCUAGUUCACCAAGCCUCAGCGGGUGCCAAAUAUCCCACAAUGGCUAUUACAUAUACUAGCCAUCUUUUCAUUGCUGUACAAAGAAUGUUAUCGUCCAUUGGUAAUAGGCGAACAAAAGAAUUAUCAUUUGUCGGUGUUUUCAAACAAAUCACUUUCUUGGGACGAGAGCUACUGUCGUUUUAUUUUGGCCUGUUUCAGGUUCGGCCUAUUGGCUAUUUGUUUCAAGUCGUCUUUGGCAAUUGGAAGCAAGGUUGUUCCUUUUCAACAUAAGUGCUCCCUUCUUUUCAAAAGUCUACUUUUUAUUUACUGAGGGGGUGUUUGUUUCUUUAGUCCCUCCUAAAAUUUCUGUCACAUCGAAUGUUUAGAUAUUAAUUAGGAGUAUUAAAUAUAGACUAAUUACAAAACCAAUUGCACAGAUGGAGAUUAAUUUGCGAGACGAAUCUAUUAAACACAAUUAGUUCAUGAUUUGACAAUGUGAUGCUACAGUAAACAUGUGCUAAUGAUGGAUUAAUUAGGCUUAAUAGAUUUGUCUCGUGAAUUAGUCUCCAUCUGUGUAAUUAGUUUUAUAAUUAGCUCAUAUUUAGUCCUCCUAAUUAGCCUCCGAAUAUUCGAUGUGACAUAAAUUUUAGGAGGUCCUAAAGAUCCAAACACCCCGAGCUACCAUAAAAGUCACACUGUGGAGUGUGGAUAUAAUUUAUUAUGAAAUUGCAAAAUUGAGAUACAUUUUCGGUGUCUCAUUAUUGUAUAGAAAAAAUCAUCUACCAUUGGUUAGAGAAAUAAAAGUUUGGAGGCAGCAAAUAAGUGCUGCUGCACAGGAGACCAUGUUAUGGCAGAUGCACGGGCGUUGCACAUCCGAUAAAUGAAUCAUCAUGCAUGACCUUAAAAGGGGGCCAAUAUGUGCCAUCUGCAACCAUCAAAAUCCACGUGCGUGCACACACAUUGAGGUGAGAGUGCCGCUGGGCUCUCAAGAGGGAGGGAGGAUGCCUUCUGUAGUUCUGUGCAUGUCAGGUGAUGAGGAGUGUAUCACACGCGCGGGAUUGGGAGGCUCUGGGAUUCGAGGAUACACGGAGAAGUGAUUUGCUGCCCAUGAUAUCGUGGAGUCCUGUCCGAAGGACCGACAAAGGUCCCAGUUCGGCACAGUUCUCUAGACUAUGAUGACAAGAAGGGGAUGUUAGCUUCCCUUUGGUUGGCCUGUGGUGUACUGUAUCGCGAUGAAGCUGGUCCUUUCAUCUGGGGCCUACACAAGCACAAGCACACAACCCUCCUCCACCAGUCGUUGGUUACUGCACCCCAGGAAAAAUAAACACCAACCUAGACCCAGCCAGACGGUGGACUGAUGAUAGGCGUGCGCAGGAGUAGCAUGUGUGUGGUGUCUGGGCAGAACCUAAUUGUAAGCGUGUGUGCGUGUGUUACUGGAGGCUAUUAGAUCGGAUGGGCAACAGGAUGUAACUCUGAAUCGUUAUCUUUUGAAUGAAACCGGAUACAUGGGUUCAGGAUUCCUCCCUCCCCAAAACUAUUCCCGAUCUCGAUCUAGGUGCGGCUCACGUCGCUCGUGAGCUGCCGACGGCCACGGGGGCAUCACAGGGGUAUCAGAGCCUCGUCUUCCUUGGCGUGGGUGUUGGGGUGACGGCGGCGGCGGCGCGACAUUGGACAGGCAAGCGGCGCGGACGGCGGGGCUUCCCUUUCUCCGAUUCAGGUGUCUCCUUGUCCGAUUCCUUCUACCUACCAGUGAUUGGAUGUAUCUGGUCUUGGAUUGGCUGAUCGUGUGUUGAAUUGCAGUACCCCGUCGAUUUGAGCUCGUACACGGGUUGGGUUUGCUGAGGCCUCGCCGUUUGCCGCGCAGCACCGGCGACGACGAUUGACUUCCUAUAAUUCCCAUCCCACCACGGUUCGAUUUGCGGGCAAUUCACCACGGCUCCACCCAAACCCUCCCUGUAGUCCCAACUUCUUUUGGAGGCCAUGGCCGAGGGUUACUCCAAAGCCGAUGCGAAACUGGAUAAGUUGAUAGAAUCAGUGGAUGUGUUGUUUGCCAAACUGGAAGACCUCAGUGUAGCCCAGACACAAAUGCAAGUGAAAUUGGACAUCAACAGUAAGGCUGUGGAUUUGUCCAUGCGGGAGCAACAACUGUUAGCACAACAAUUGGAGCUACUGGGCAAACGGUGGCUAAAUUGACAUUGGAUCGAUUGGGGCAACAGGAUCAAGAUGUUGAGGGUAGUCCUACUCCAUCCAAUGCUACCUCUCACCGACAACAUCACCACCAUCAGGACCACAACUAGUUUGAGGAAUCACACCAUCAGCGCUUUGCUACGGGUGCCCGUCAUUUUGGACACAAUACUGCAGCUCACAGAAAUUCAAUGCCAAAAAUGCAGUUUCCAAAAUUUGAAAGACAAGAUCCAACAAUUUGGCGUAAUAAGUGUGAAACUUAUUUUCAGAUCUUUGACAUUCCAGAUCACAUGAAGAUCAUGACAGCAGUAAUGCAUAUGGAUGAAAAUGCCUCCAGGUGGUUCAGAGUCUAUAAGAGGAAGAAUAGAGUGGAGAAUUGGGACCAAUUCAUUAAAGCUGUAGAGCACAAAUUUGGGGCUUAUGACUACCAGCAUGCUAUUGAUGAAUUAUUGGAUUUGAAACAAGUCAGCUCAGUGGAGGAGUAUGCACAUGCUUUUGAGACUCUUCAAUUUCAGGUGGACAUGCAUAGUGGAGGGAUGCCUGACACCUACUUCAUCUCACAAUUUAUUCAAGGGCUUGAACCUGACAUAAGGUAUGCAGUUCAAGGACAAGUCCCACACUCUAUGGAAAGAGUAGUGAUGUUGGCCAAUAUACAACAGCAAAUCCAAGAACAAAGUUCCAAAAAGAGUCUGAAACACUCCACCACUACCAAAUGGCCUGCUACAUCAACCUCAGUCCGAGUGGAUCAGCCAAAACCGGUUACAUCUCCUACACUUUCCAAGGAAAGGCAGCUCAGAGAUUAUUGUAGAGUUCACAACCUCUGUUUUUAUUGCAGAGAACCAUAUGAUGCCACUCAUGCUUCUAAGUGCACUAAAAGGCCAAAAGCUCAAGUCAAUGCCCUGGUGCUCAAUGAUUUAGAUGUUAGCUUAACUGAGGAAGUCCUCACUCAGUUGGAUAUUGAAGAUGCCUUGGCAGUAGAUUUUGGCACGCUCUCACUUAAUGCCAUUGCUGGCACAGAGGAGGGUGAAGUUAUGAGAUUAAGAGCCCUUGUCAAGAACAAAGUGAUAUUAAUGUUAGUAGACAGUGGUAGUUCCCAUUGCUUUGUAAGCUCCGGAUUCUUAAACAAGCUUGGCAUCCAACCCAUACCGGCACAACCCAAAACUGUGAAAGUAGCAAAUGGGGAGGUACUAGUCUCUGAUCAAAUGGUACCAAAGUUAGCAUGGUGGAUUCAAGGACACACUUUUAGUUGUGACAUGAGAGUGCUGAAUCUGGAAGCUUAUGAUUGUAUAUUGGGGUAUGAUUGGCUCAAGUUACACAGUUCCAUUACCCACCAUUGGGAACACAAGACUAUGCAAUUUUUGCAUAAAGGGGAGCAGAUCACUAUACAGGGUGUUCAGAUAGGCAAUUUACUUGUUCAGGAGCUCUCAGCUGAUAAAUUACUGAAAUGGGAUGCUGGCAAUGAUAUUUGGGCUUUUGCUAUAGUUAAGGUUUUACCACAGCAAGAAGAACAAUCUAAUCCUGCUGAAGUUCAGGCACUAUUGGAGAAAUUUCAAGAUGUCUUUGCUGAACCUAAAGAGUUGCCUCCCUCUAGAGUUUAUGAUCACCCUAUUCCUAUCAUUCCAGGUGCCAUUCCUAUUAAUUCUAAGCCCUAUAGAUAUUCUCCUUUACACAAGAAUGAAAUUGAAAGACAGGUUCAAGAAUUACUUGUUGCUGGUCUCAUAACCCCAAGUAUGAGCCCUUAUGCUUCUCCUGUAUUACUAGUUCAAAAGAAAGAUGGUACUUGGCGUUUUUGUGUGGAUUAUAGGAAACUUAAUGACAUCACCAUCAAAAAUAGAUUUCCUAUGCCCAUCAUUGAUGAAAUUCUGGAUGAACUUGCUGGCACAAAGUCUUUCACCAAAUUGGACAUGAGAGCUGGUUAUCUAACCAAGUCAGGAUGAAAGAGUGUGAUGAAUACAAAACAGCUUUUAAGACACAUCAUGGGCAUUACCAGUUUAGAGUUAUGCCAUUUGGGCUUACUAAUGCUCCUGCCACCUUUCAAUGUACCAUGAAUGAAAUUUUGGACCCUUUCCUAAGAAAAUUUGUGCUAGUGUUUCUUGAUGACAUAUUAAUUUACAGUCCCACUUUGGACUCACAUAUGCAACAUCUUAGGCUGGUUCUAGAGAAGUUCAGACAACAUCACUUCUUCCUGAAAUACAACAAAUGCUCUUUUGCUCAACAUCAACUCGAUUAUUUGGGCCAUAUCAUUUCUGAGCAGGGGGUGGCUACUGAUCCAGCAAAAAUAGAAGCUAUGCUCAAUUGGCUAGUUCCCACUACUGUCACUGAACUGAGGGGCUUUCUGGGCCUUACUGGUUACUACAGAAAGUUUAUCAAACACUAUGGCUUACUGGCUAAACCAUUGACAAAUCUACUAAAGAAGAAGCAAUUUGAGUGGCAUGUGGUAGCUCAAGCAGCUUUUGAACAGUUGAAACAAGCAAUGAUCAUAGCUCUAGUGUUGGCAAUCCCAGAUUUCACUCAGCCAUUUAUUGUUGAAACUGAUGCAUCUGAUUCAAGGGUGGGGGCUGUUUUGAUGCAGGGAGACCAACUUGUGGCUUUUAUGAGCAAGGCAUUAGGACCAACACAUCAGAAAAUGUCCAUAUAUGAAAAGGAAUUUCUAGCUCUAAUUAUGGCUGUGGAGAAAUGGAGACCAUAUCUUCAAAGAUAGGAAUUCAUAAUCAGAACAAAUCAUAAAAGUUUAUCUUAUCUCAAUGAACAAAACCUCCACUCUGAAAUGCAGAGGAAGGCAAUAACAAGACUAAUGGGACUACAAUUUAAGGUCAUUUACAGAAGAGGAAAGGAAAACUUAGCAGCUGAUGCUCUAUUCAGAUGCUGCCAUUUGUUAGCACUCCAAGCUGUUUCUGAAGCUCAACCAGUUUGGAUUCAAGAGGUGCUCAAUACUUAUACUAUUGACCCUCAAGCCCAAGAAAUCUUAACCAGGCUAGCCAUUAAGUCUCCUGAUGAUCAAGGUUUUUCUUUGCAACAAGGCCUUAUCAAGUUCAACAACAAAGUUUGGAUCGCUGAAAAUUCAUCUUUGUAAACCAGGCUGAUUGAUGCUUUGCACUCUAGUGUUCUUGGAGGCCAUUCUGGCAUCAAAGCCACUUACUACAGAAUCAAACAACUUUUUUAUUGGAAAGGGCUGAAAACUGAUGUCACCAACUUUAUGAAGAAAUGUUUAAUCUGUCAACAAGACAAGCAUGAACAUACUCACCCAACAGGUUUACUCCAACCUCUUCCCAUUACUCAAGGGGCUUGGCAGGAUAUUUCCCUAGAUUUUGUGGAAGGAUUGCCACUGUCAGAAGGAUGUAAUGUCAGCCUAGUGGUAGUUGACAGAUUCACAAAAUACAGUCAUUUCAUCCCUUUGAAGCACCCAUUCACUGCACAAGGAGUAGCUAAAGCAGUACUUGACAAUGUAAUUAAGUUACAUGGCAUGCCAAGAACAAUAGUAUCUGAUAGGGAUAAGAUUUUCACCAGUGCCUUUUGGACAGCAUUGUUUAAAUUGGUGGAUACAAAAUUACUCAGAAGUUCAGCUUAUCACCCACAAACUGAUGGCCAAACUGAACGAGUAAAUCAAUGCCUGAAAAUGUACCUCAGAUGUGUUGUUCAAGAUACACCCAAACAAUGAAAGUCAUGGCUCUCUUUGGCUGAAUUGUGGUACAAUUCCAGUUACCACACUUCUCUGGGUUGUUCCCCUUAAGGCUCUCUACGAUUAUGAGGCUGAUUUGGGCACUCUUCUACCAUUGUCUGCUCAAGAACACAACCUAGCCCUGGACUUUCUGCAAGAGAAGGAGCAGCAAUUGGCGUCUCUAAAACACCACCUUGCUGCAGCUCAGAAUCGAAUUAAACUACAAGCAGAUCGCCAUCGCUCCGACAGAAACUUUCAAGUUGGUGCCCAAGUUCUACUUAAGCUGCAACCUUAUGUGCAGCACUUGGUGGUAACCAGACCUUAUCCUAAGCUAGCUUUCAAGUAUUUUGGUCCUUUUGAGGUGGAACAGAAAAUUGGAUCAGCUGCUUACCGAUUGGCAUUACCGGAGGGAAGUCAAAUCCAUUCGAUGUUCCAUGUUUCACAACUUAAACCCUUCACACCCAACUACACUCUUGUCUUCAAGGAAUUGCCAACUGUUGCUGAUUUGUCAGCUCAAGAUCUAUCACCAGAGACUAUAUUGGAUCGUCGGCCGGUCAAGAAGGGCACUCGAGCCAUCCCUCAGGUUCUCAUCAAAUAGACUACCCUACCUGGUACCUCUGUAACUUGGGAGGAUUAUUAUGUCAUCAAGAACAAGUUCCCUGAUGCCGUUGCUUGGGGACAAGCAAGCUCUGAAGCUGGGGGAGCUGUCAGGCCCAGCCAGACGGUGGACUAAUGAUAGGCGUGUGCAGGAGUAGCGUGUGUGUGGUGUCUGGGCAGGACCUAGCUGUAAGCGUGUGUGCGUGUGUUACUGGAGGCUAUUAGGCCGGAUGGGCAACAGGAUGUAACUCUGAAUCGUUAUCUUCUGAAUGAAACCGGAUACAGGGGUUUAGGGUUCCUCCCUCCCCAAAACUAUUCCCGAUCUCGAUCUAGGUGCGGCUCACGUCGCCAGCGAGCUGUCGACGGCCACGGGGGCAUCACACCUAGCGUGCUACUCAACCACACCGGAUAAAAGGGAAAAGAUUUUAACAGCAUCUUCCCUAAAAAUAGGAACGUCGUGGAAGCAACAAAUAAAAAGAUAAGGACUAGUAUGAAUGAAAUAUCCGGACAUGAUAUCCAAAUGAUUAACGGCAAGGUUUAAUAAAUCUUAGCCAUCAUUAAGCAACAAACAAACUUUCAUAGAGAAGGACUUAAUUAUUACAGCAUAGCACUAGAGAAUUUUGAUUAAGAAGAAGUGUGUGACGUGCUGCUACUUCCCAACCCCUCAAGCAAAGCAUCCAUCCAUCAAGUACUUGAGGUGGUAAAAAAACAGGGGUGAGAUAUAAAAUCUCAGCAAGUAACCGGCUUUAAGGAGCUAUUUAAUCUACAAGUUCAUUAGACAAUGGUUUAACUAUUAUCAGCAAGCAAAACUCCUCAAUGAAAAAUAAUAAUAUUAUCAACUCCAACACCCUCAUACAUAAAUAAAACCAAUUCAUCGCCAAACCUUGGAGAAGAUUCACUUCUCACCACCAUUGUCAAAUAAAUGCCAUAGAAAACUAAUAGCACCCUAAAUGCGAAUGCAAUGCAAAUGCCAUGUCUCCUGCCUUCAUACUCAACAAAGUAUGAAGCUGCAUCGUUAUGUCCAAUAAACGAUGUUGUACCGGUACGGUCGCGGCUAUCAAGCGGCAACAUAACUCCAUAUACCAUGCAUUGUGAUGCAAUGAAAUGCAAUACCAAGAUAGAUUGCACAGAGAGAGUACACAACAUGAAACAGCAUGUCCAGCAUAAUGGCUCAUCACAUGUCGUUGGUGGCCUCUCUCAGCUUUUACUUCUAUUACUGGUCGGAUUAAUGAUCUUUUCAUUUAUUAUGAGUCAAAAACACAAGCAUUUAUAAAUCUCCACGGAGGGAUCCAAGAAAAUGUUAUGCGUUAGACUAGUCGCGGUAGCAGUAUUAUCUGUGCAUGCCCGGAGUGCCAGGCAAAUGAUCGGAAUGAUUACGAAAAAUGUUGCCAGAACCCAAGAGCGAGUUGCCCGUGCAACCAAUAAGGCUUGGGAGGCAGCAGUAACAUAUACAUGCCAAAUGUCAAUGAUCAAGCCAGAUGAGAUGACACAUUUGGUUCGAUAUGCUCAUGUUGUGCCAAAGCUUGCCGUUCCGUUUCCUCCAGAGUGAGUAGAAUUCCCUUAUCCAAGGGUCAUUUGUGUUUCUCUGCGGUGUGAUCUUGAUUCAUUUUGCCUGCUUACCAUUUUUCUUCUUAAUUUGUCCAGUCCAAAACCAAUCAUGUUUUUUUUCUCCCUCUGCGUUUUGCACUGAUUGAAACUGUUGUUGUGCGUGUUUCAGAUAAUCCUAAUAAACUUGAUACAGCAUGGUGUGCUGCUGCAGCUGUUCGUAUGGAAGUAACAAAAUCCGGAAAUGCACUAAUCCUUUUAUUUGUUAAAUGUCCAGAGCAUAUAUAGCUCAGUUGAACAGUUACCAUGUUCGAUAUCUCUAGGCAGCUUACCCAAAAAAAAUACAGAGUUUCAUGGCCAUGGUGCAGUUAUGCAUAUAUAGAACACAGGAUGGUCCUUUGAACAAUUCAGUAAAAACAAAAGAGACUAAAGAGUCCUGUACGAGCAAGUGCAAAAUGGAGCAACAUCAGGGCACAUUGGCCACGCUGGACUGGCCAUUGUGCCAGCUUCCUCCAUCGGAACCGUGCUAAACUAGAGUUGGGCCUGUCUGGUUGUCUGAAAAUCUGACCCAGGCAAAUAGUUCUCUUCCAUCCCUACGUCACCAAUCAUCAAAAAGCUCCACAAAAGUUUGCUAGGGAUGGGGAUUACAUUGGUAGAUAAUAUGAAAAAUUUUCAAGCUCAGGUGUAUCCAUGAGGAGUAAAAAAUAAAAUGUGGGCAAAGGGGAACGAUUCUUUAAAUCUCUGCCUUCCAAUGUUGGGUCCAUAGGUUGAGAUGCUUAGCUGAGUACCACAUUUAUAUACCGAGAAAGGCUAUUGUGUAUGACACUGGGGCUUAUAUAUAUCUAUCUAUAAUUCUAUAUAUAUCUAUAUGAGUAGAAGAAAGGGUAUACGAGAGAUCGCGCUGCACAUGCCACGAGCACACGAGUUGCAGAGUUUGCAUCGUAGCUGCCGAGCAGACGAGUAAACGACCAAGCCACCGGGACUAGGAGCAUGGCUGCAUUGGCCAUUAGCCCAGCAAAAAACUGGAAGUAGCUAGCUAGCUUCCUCAGCGGAUACAUUCAGGCUUGAGAGGCAUCGGGAGUCUAUGACACCCAGUUUGGCAAGCUAUUCGUGGCCCCUGCCGGUGAUUGAUGCGAUGAUUUUCCCCUUGGGUGCCUGUAUGUCUAGAAACGCUGUAGAGGCCACGCGAUACUUGCAGUUGCAGGGUGUGCAUAAGCCCAUGCGAAUAUGGGAUCGUCAGCAUAUUGGCUGCAGCUGAGCACGGCGACUUCACCGGUAAAAGCACCAUCGCAUAGUAGAAUCCUUCUUUCUCCGUAGUAUACUUUAGGCUUGGGUGACAUCGAGAAUUCAACAAUGUCAACUUUUUUACAACAGCCGAGCCUGCAACAGGAAGCUCGUGUCCCCAAAAUUUAGCAACAAAGCUUCAAUCAAGGGACUAGUAGUGUAGUUCUAACUUCCUGGUGUUUCUUGUGUAAGGUUAAUUUGGUUGCGUGCCCUGUAAUUUCAAUUUCUGUUUUGCAUCUUUGAGGUGGCAUAUGUGCCACUCAACAUUUUGCCAUUUUUGGUGCUCGUAUGAAUACUCUUUAACCUAGUUAGCUGUCCAUUUGGCACAAGUAUUUUGGUUUGUAGUUUAACAAUUCAAGCAUGAUAAGAUCGGCCUCCAGGCACUGAGCGUGCUGCAAGCAUGGAACCGAGCUUGCAACUAUUUAUCCGCAAUCAUACAGGGAUGGAUCAUGGCUGGACCACGGACUUCCAAUAUACAAAUCUAGUUCGAUGACAAAAUUUAAACAGCUAGCUAGUACUCCGUGGGGAGCUGUAUUUUGGUUGACUGGCAAAGUUAAAUGUUGGAUUUCAUUACAAAAAUGUAAAAUGUUGGUUAAAACCAGUUUCCCAAGUGACAUUUUCCAUUAAUUACUCAAAAUUGGGCAUUCUUAUGCGUAGGUACAAUAGAAUUUAGUCCUGAUAUGUCAAUGGUACACCGCCACCCUACAUCACAAAUUCAAGUUUGUUACAAAAGCCUCUUCCAAUAGUAGGCAGUACUCCUGCUAUCAUGUCACUAAGAGGGGAGACUUUUACGGUACCUUCAAAUCAAUAUGGGCCACCGAAUCCUCCUCAGCUGAUGAUUUAGAUUGAUGUACAAUACUUUUCUUAAUGCAAGUAUCAAGGCAAUCGUGAUAUGAUAGGAAUUGUCUGAUGAGUGGGCUUUGUAAAAGUUAAACAAUGCAAAGUGCAAACACUGAAAUGAUAUAAAUAAAAUCUCAUAUAAAACCUGACUUAUAUUAUUUCUUUCAUGGUUCAUGCAUGAUUGAAACCCAUCAAAACUUCACAUCGGAUUAUGUUAAGCUACAUACUUCGGUAAAAAUCAGUCUGAACUUGAACCAAAGCCGUUCCAGUACCCUGUCGAGCCAAAGCGUUUUUUUUUGCGAAAGGAGCCAAUGUUUUUUUUUUUCCGAUGCGAAAGGAUCCAAGGCUAUUUUGACAAUUGAACUUUCUUCAAAGAGACAUGGGCAUUUAUCUUACAAGUGUACAGAUAGGAGCUAGCAUGUCAUUAAAUGUAGCUAAUGCUAGCCAAGUAGUUGCAGCAGAGAGCCUAUAUAUGCAGUGACAAAUCAGAGCAUCGACUACGCAUGUGAGAGGGAGCAUAGGGUGCCCAAGGCAAUGAGAUUAUUAGGAAGCUUCCAGGGCAUCGGGCAUACAUGUGAGGUCAAAGGUGGUGACAUGUUCAUGAUGAGUCGUGCUAUGAUAUUGAGGCUGGGAGACGUAGGGAACUUUUAUGAGCCAAAAAUACACUUCGGAUGAGCAAGUCCGUGAUCAGGUGGGUGGGAAUGGCUCGUGAACAGCCCUGCUGGGGCAAUAUACUCCGCUAGUUGCAGCCAACAACGACAUGGCCUGCGAACGGCUCGAGCUCCAUGGCUCUCAAGUUUUACCGUAUCAUUGUGCAAGUCUAUCCAACACCAAGAGACCUGACCGCCUGCGGGGGCCUCGCCGAGUCUGAUGCUACGUUACCGUGGCCGCGUGCUGCAUCAGCAGCGCCGAUGGAUGGAUUUAUGCCGCGCCACAUUCCACCAGGAAUCUGGAUAGUAGGUAGAUAUAUUUUCCUAAUCGAGGUAUUAUAAAUCUAGGAAAAGCAUCCAAAUUGGAUUUGCCUCCAAAGAAUGCAACAAAUUUGAUGAAAUUAAUGAGGGUGAUGAGUUUAGAACCUAUAUGUGACAAAGCGGGGCAGGUUUAAGAACCACCAAUGUAUUUUACUUUCAUGAGGUCAUACAAGAUCAAAACCUAGGUUCAAAGUGUCUUGGUUUGAAGUCUGUCUGAUUGUGAGUUUUAGUUAAAGUUCUAGUGCUGUUAAGAUCAUGUUGUUUUUGCAGUGGUGGGAGUUCAUUAUAUGUAUUGAAGUAUAAGUGAAUUGUCCACCUCCCCCAUCAGCUUAAGCUUUUAGGUUAAAUUGGUUGGUGCAUGCAACUCAAUAAUGUGGAGGCAGUAAAUAAAUUCAGAGUUGCUUCAAUUCUUUGGUUGUACUCAGGAACUUCCUUUUUGUACCUUAGGAAUAAUUGCAUGGGUAAAUAAAAUAAGAAAAGUACAGGAAUGGGCCGAUAUAUAUUGAGAAACUGGAACGUCGAGUGCGCAUGCGAGGGCAAGUAGUGUACUCAAUGAAAUGAUAUUGUCAGGCAGCUGUAGGACCAUAGGGUGUAUCUGAGGUUGUGAUGGCUUCAUGGCUACACCAGAAAUAUUGUGUUAUUAGGGCUGGGAGACAUAAGGAGUUCAUAGGUGAGAAAUAUGUGCAAUUCAAGCAUGCAUCUGAUGAUGAGCUUUGCUCCAUGUAGAUUGGGCGCUAGAUGAAGCGCCGCUUGGACUCAUCCUGGGGAGGUCAAGCACUCUGGUUAGGCUCGUCUCAAGUACCCAGCCAGGCUCUCAGAUUGUGCGCAAGCAUGAGUAGCGUGUGGGUCGUGGAUGUCACCUGCCUUUUGAAGUGCUUGCUGCUGAUGUUCACGGACCACGUGCUGCUUAAUUUCCUAUAGUAGAUGUUUUUUUUUUGCUAAAUCUCUCAUUAACCAUGCGUCAUGUUUUGGUUUCUUUCUCAUGCUGCUGUUCUCUUUUGUUAGUACCAUCAGCAUGGAGGGUUAGAAAGAAAAUGGUUUUUUUGCUCAGUUUAUUUGGUUUAGAAUUUUAUAUGUCCAGUAAUCCCCAUGUGACGCCGAAGCCUUAAUAUGAGACGGAGUCCUAAGUUCUAAUCCCCAUUGAACGUGGACUACUUGCCCUUGGCACCAUUCACCGCAUAAACCUAAAUGGGGGAUACACAUAACACAACCUGAAUUCAUUAUGGAGCAGUGUGAUGUUUCGAGGUGCUGUGUGAAAUAUUGAUACUUCAAUCUCUUCCACCAGCUUUCCAAGCAAACAUUAUUAGCCAAGGUCAGGUUAUCCUUGAGCAACUGAACUUAACGCCGAAUGUACCAACCAUGCUGCCAUUGUCUAUCUUCCAGGAUUCAUGUGCUAUAUAGUAAAGGCAUUCCUGCAUUAGGCACUGCUGGCAAUCAUAUGUAGGUCCCUUUAAAUGGAGUCCAAAUUAAAGUAGUAUGACGAGUGCUUGAGUGAUGACUUAUGAAUUUUCACUUGUCGUAGAGUGCAUAUGUUUUCCUAAGUUUCAUGUGCUUUUGGCAUGAGCUGUUUAGAACUGGGAGGUAUCAGAAAUUCAACUAUAGUGAUGUGUCCGCAUCACACAGAUGUGAGGAGAGUACAGGUUUGCCAUCAAAGACCACAAUGUGCGUGGUGAAUUGAUCUUUCAUGGGCGUAGUAGGUGCAGGUGGCAACCACUGAUCGCAUGUUUGCCGGCAUAUGCUGUCCAGCUCUAGAUGCAACCGAGUCUGGGUGCAGCAGCUAGCAGAAGAACGAAAACAUGGCAAUGUCUGCAGCAUGGCAUGUUUGCAGCAGCAGCAGCUCUAGAGACAAUGUCUGCAGCAGAAGAACGAAAACACAACGUCUCAAAAGGAGUUUGCAUCAUAGUGCGGCCAACCAUGGCAGCUACUUUCUGCAAGGCAAAAGGAAAGCAUCGGCCAAUUAAGAGGUGGUUCUUUCUUCUCACGUCAGUAUUGGAUUUGUCAUUGUUUUGUCCCUGCAAUAAGGUAAUAUAAAACAAGAGCAAAAGCAGCAUUUUUUUCAGUUAAACUGUUGACUUGAGGUGCUACAUUAACCGCAGAACUGCAAUAAGAAAUGGUUUUGUGUGCACGAAAGCUCACCGAAACUAAGAAUUUGAGCGGUUACAUUGUAACUAACCAUGCGUGGCAAAUUUCAGCGAGAAAGCGCGUGUGACUACAUUGCAACACUCGUAUGUUUGCCUAUCAAGCUAUUACUUCACAAAAUUGAUAAUGCUACCAUGGCAGUUGAACCAUGUUCAAUGCAGGUCCCUGCUAGCUUAGCUCUAGAAAAGUUUGGUAUGCUGCAACUGUUUGGACUGAGUUGGGUCCGUAAAAUUCAAAACUGCAAAGUACAAGAUAACAAUGAACAUUGCAUCAAAAAAUAUAACAAUGAACCAUAGAUACCGAAACUUAAAAAAAAGAACCACGUUUUGUUUGCUGAGAGGAGUCAGUCUCAAAGGACCAAUCGAUUCGCGUGGAUUAGCAAACUUCGAGUUGAGGUGAAAAAUGGGUAGGAAGAGAGAGGAAAUAAGGCAUAUAUACAAAGGUAUUUCAUUUCCUUUACAGGCAGGGAGGAAGGGAGAGAGCUAGUUAGGGAGGUUGACAAGGUUGAGGAGAUGGUGUAUCCGCGGCAAAUCGGGCGGAGGCUCACCUGGUGCGACGAAUUUGAUCCAGCGCGGUUCGGUGGGCAAGAGCAAGGAAGAAAAAGGGUGCGGAGGAAAAUGCCGACACUAGAAGGUUCGGUUGGGGCUUUGAUUUGCUUAGGAUGGUAGAGUAAAGAUUCUUGAGGCUGUGGGUGCAAGAGAUUGGGAAAUGUUGCUGUGAGAUGCUCCAAUUUGGCUGGCAAUAGUGCUAGCUACGCGGCGAGGUGGAGAAGAAGAGCUGAGGCAGAGGCAAAAAGGGGAGGAGCGGCGAUCUUUGAUGAAGCAGAACGACGACGUGCUCGCGGUGCCGCUCGCUCAGGGAGUCACACCGGUGCGCGGCGGAGACCACGUAGGAGAAAAGUGCCUCCGUGGACGCUCCUAGAUGACCACACUUUAAUAGAUCAGGGACCUAGAUAACGAGUUUGAGAGUACAUGGACCUAGGUGAGAAUGCUGAUAAGUUAGCAAACCUACAGUGAAAUUCACUCUAAAAAGAAGAUGAAACUCAGACUAGGCAAAUAACCAAUGGAAAAAAUAACACCGGUCAGUUGGACUGAGAUGUCAACAUAUGCCGAACACAACUCAACUCCAACAACUCUAGUCAGUCGGAUUGGGACAUCGACACAACAUCAAUGGGUCAGAUAAUAAAAGAUAAUCGAUUGUGGAGAACAAAUAGACGCAACUAUGAUAAAAGGCACCUGGAAGACCAGGGGCAUGCCACAUUGUGGUUGAGGGCUAGCAGUAGGACAUAUAAAAAGAGGGAGACCAGACGAGGGAUGCCAAAUUGUGUGUAGGGCUUUUGGUUCGAGCUAUAUAGGAUCGGUGGGUGUCAUGAUAUCUAUCAAUCACUGUUUGUCGAAUGUGCCAAGAUAAGGUUUCACGUGAGGUUUUUGAGUCUCGACCAUCUCGGCUCGGUGGUGGGAUCAAGGUCCCUUCCAAAGCUUUAUGACACAAUGAGGAUGCUUGUUGAUCACAAAAGUCUUGCGACGACGGCUGGGGAGGCAAUGCUCUGCAUGAGGAAAAUUUGACGCCCUCGUUAGACCAGAUGAGUACAAGCAUGAGCAGGUGCUACUCAUGGCACACCAGAACGUUAACACAGCAGCCAUUCUGAAUUAUCCGAAUGCAGGAAACAAGAAGCUCCCUUCUACAGGAUAGGGGUGAACUAUAGCAACAACGAUGAUGAUGCUUUUGCUUGUCAUUUCAGUUCUCGAUUUGCCAUGUGUGAAAAGUAGCCUUCUCUUUUGUGCGAAAAAAAUAAUGGAAGUUGCCAACCGUUUCUUAUGCUUGUCUAGAGAUUGUAUUUUCAUAUGCUGGACCGUGGGUGGAAGAGCGACUACUACAACAUUUUAGUUCAAUGAAGGCUUUCCUCGAAAGACAAAAUGGUUCAGUGAGCUCCGGAGCAACGACAACCGCGAGUAACUUUCUAUUAUUCCACCAGAACUACUUCCAACUCCAGUCAUUUGUAAGACGGAGAGCAAAAACGUGACUCAGUUCUGGCUGGAAAUGGAAGACCCACCAUAUCUAAAAAUUGACCAAAUCGUUCGGUUCUUGGAGUAAGUGUAGUAGGAGGGUGAUUAAAGUACAGUUCUGUUCUUGAGCAACCAGCUCGACAGCCUGAUGAAGCACCAUUGACGCUGCCUGGGCUGGUCAAGCAUUCUCAUCUUCAACUAGUCUCCAAUCUCCAGUCAUGCUAUUCCCCAGAUUGUGUACACGGAAGUAGCGUGGAGGUCUCCUGCCAUUGACCUCCCUACGAAAUGACGCGUGCUGCCAAUGUUCUCUGAUCAAGGAGCUUCGUCUGCUGCUGGAAAUGCUAAUAUGAGAAGGCUCGACCAACGGCAAGAUUAUCCUCCAUGACAUCUCUUCACGCAUACUUCAACAAUUUCCUGUUCUCAUUAACCACGCAUCGAUCAUGUCUCUCUUUAUUUAUUCUUGCGCUGUUGUUCUCUUUUGUUGGUACCAUCAGCUUGGAGGGUUAGCAACAAAAUGGUUUGCUCAAUUUAUUUUAUUUAUAAUUUUACAUGUGCAGUAAUCCAUGUCUAGCGCUGAAGCCUUAAUAUGAGACGGACUCCUGAAUCCUGAUCCCUAUUGAACAUGGACUAUUUGUACUUGACACCAUGCACAUCCUAAAUGGUUUAUACAUUUGACACAACUUGAGGUCAUUAUGCAGCUGUAUGAUAUUUUCGAGACGCUGUGUGCAACGAUGUGAUCAAUCUCUUCCACCAACUUUUCCCAGCGAACAUUAGCCGAAGGUCAGGUAAUCCUUGUGCAAAGUACAACGGAAUACUUAAUCCUGAUUUCCGAAUGUGCCACCGUGCUACCAUCAUCUAUAUCUUCCAGGAUUCUUGUGCCAACUGUAAAGUCAUCGUCCAUGCGUUUGGUACUGCUGGCAAUCAUGUCUGGAAAUGGAGUCCAAGUAGCAGUAUAUAUGUAUGGUGACUGUAGUAGUAAUGACUCAUGAAGUUUCACUUGUGGUAUGAGUGCAUGCGUUUUCCAAAGUUUCGCAUGUAUAAAAAGAAAACAUGGGGUGUGUAUGCGGUUGUAUAAUUGCAUGGCACAAAUAUAUCGACACCUAUAUAUAUGUUUAGAAGGCAAUUGAGUAGUCAAAACAAUCGCACAAAUCGUUGAGGCUGUAUCUGUAUAGGCCUGGGAGGUAUCAGAAAUUCAAAUAUGCGAAUUUGUCACCAAUAAAGUGAAUAAUGUGGGGAGAGUGGAGCUAUAUGAUCAACGAGAUUCACUUGGGUUGGAUAUGAUCCGAAUUAUAACGUAUGUCUUGUGGGACGCCUAGAGGGCACACGAUUCAGGUCAUGUGAUUAGCGGAUUUGUUUCCGUAUUUGAUUGCAGUCAGUUUAGUCCACCCUAUAUAUACAUCUUGUAAGCCGCACGGGGAAAAGCAAGACGGCUCAUUGUAUUCCCUGUGUUGUAACUUUCUCAUUAUAGUGAAGAUCGUCGAUUGGCGCCCGUAAUUUUUUCCCGUAAAUGUUUUCGUGUCUCGUGUUCGAUCUUGUUUUCGCAUUAUUUGCUAACAACUUGUGUGGCCGAUGGAUCUUCCAUGGAUGGGACUGCUGCAAGGCGGCAAUACCACCACAGAUCGCAAGUUUGGUGUGGAUAUGGAACUUGGUUGGAGGGAUGCUCUCAAGAAACAAAUCAGAGCAUGCUCCGUAGAAAAGCCAAGCUCCAUUCAUUAAUGCUACUGGAAACUCAAACACGACACCUGAAAAGGCAGAAGGGAAAGCAUUGGCUAAUUAAGCGACAAUGACUCUCGUUCAACAGCUGAAAUUUUACUUGCAUGGAUGACCUUCUGGUCGGUUUGAGCCUUUUGGGUCACUGGCCGUAUAACAUUGUAUGUAUAUAUAAUCCAUGCCCAUGGUAAACUUAAAUUGAGUUGAACUUAUUAACUGUGUGGUAUGUUUUGUUUUCUCUAAGUACUCAAACUGUGCCUUAUCCUCAUCCCAAAUACAACAACAUGUUAACUCAAAGUGCUCAUAAAGAAUUCGGUAAUAGGCGCCGCUGGCAAUGCAAUAAUGUUGACCUAAUGUUGUCCAGAAAGUAAUGCAGCAUAUGAGCUGCAUGAGUGUCGCUACACAAUAUAAUGCAUCUGUGUUAUGGCCGUAUUUUUCUUGACUUUGAGAUGUACUCCUGUUAGAUUGAUCUCUUUCCCAAUGGGCCCAAAGGCCCAUCGGGACCCUGAUCCGCGCCCUGAUCGGGGGCGCUCACCCUAGCAAUGGGUGGUGGGCCCCUGUCGCGCUGCGCUAUAUAAACAGGGUGGGGGACCCGGCUCGGCUCACGAGGUUCGCCGUAGCCAGCCGCCCCACCGACAUACCUACCGAUCUAGGUUUGCGCAGUAGCGGCGGGAAGCACCACCACCAUCUCACCGGCGACCGGACUCGGCACUGCGCGUCGCUGCCUUGCGCAGACUCCACCAAGCGAACCCGCGAUGGCCAGCAGCUCUGCUGCUCCCACCUCUAGGGGUGAAGGAUCAUUCAACUUAAUGGCUUGUCUCAAAGAGAUACCCAUUCUGAAAGGCAACAACUAUACAGAAUGGAGGAAGAAGAUUGAGUUCUCCUUCGUUUGUGGAGAAGUUGACUGGGUGCUGACUACACCGCGACCACAAGCUCCACAGAAGCCAGUGAGGGCUGAAGGUGAUGAUGAUGCUGCAUGGCAGCAAAAGGAAAGGGACUAUGCUCCACUGGAGUUGGCAUACACCCUUGAAAACAAACAGUGGACCACUGCCAACAAGAAAUGUAUGGCUUUGGUAAAGAAUACGAUUGAGCCUGCUAUUUUGGGCUCGAUCACAGAGUGUGACUCCGUCUCAGAGUACCUCGAGAAGAUAAGGAAUCAGUUCACUGGUUCCUCAAAGAUAUACGCUACCCAGCUGUUCAAGCAGCUGGCCACAAAGAGGUACAAUGGAGGAGGGACUGGCAUAAGAGAUCACAUCAUGAGGAUGUAUAACUUGGCAGCACAGUUGAAGCCAAUGGAUCUUGAGCUCAAGCCUGGGCACAUUAUUCAUUUGGUUUUCGCUUCUCUGCCAAAAGAGUUUGACACUUUUGUUGUCAAUUAUAACAUGCAGCCAGAACAGUGGGACAUGGAAAAAAUGAUAGCCAUGUGCGUGCAGGAAGAGGACAGACUUAGAUCCUCAUAUGGUGGUUCAUUGCACUAUGUGAAGGACAACAGGAAAAAGAUUGCUAACUCCUCUUUCAAGGCACGAGGAAAGGCUCCUAUGCAGCAGAAUCACCAAAAGCCUCUCACAGUAGACAAAGAUCAAUGUCUACACUGCAAGGAAAAGGGGCACUUCAAGAAAGACUGUCCCGACUGGUUAAAGUCCAUAAUGGCAAAAAGAGGUGAGAAUACUAUUUCUUUUGUAAAUGAAUCCUUGUGUACACAGUAUUCGAAAUCUACUUGGUGGAUUGACUCAGGUGCAACUGUUCAUGUUGCAAAUUCUUUACAGGGAUUCCGUUCGACGAGGACUACGCAAAGAAGCGAAAGAUGCGUUGAAGUCGCAAAUGGAGUCCAAGCAGAAGUUGAAGCUAUUGGCGAUGUCUCUCUAGAGCUAGUUGAUGGUUUCAUGCUUGUACUUAGAGAUGUGCUUUAUGUUCCUUCGUUACACAGAAACUUGAUUAGCAUUUCACGUAUGGACCAUGAUGGAUAUGAAUGUCAUUUUGGAAAUGGAAAGUGUGCCAUUUGGUUCGAUAAUGCAUGUGUUGGUGUUGCCAUCCUUCACAAUGAGUUGUAUUUAUUAUCACUGCGUGAAAAAGUAAAUUCUAUGUGUGAUGUGAAUAUGAAUGUAUCCUCGUCAGAGAAAGAAACAAAGAAAAGAAAGAGAACUCAUGAAAUAUCGUCGAAAUUAUGGCACUGUCGUUUAGGCCAUAUUUCGAGGGGGAGAAUAGAAAGAUUAGUUAAGAAUGAAAUUCUUCCUCAAUUAGAGUUCUCAGACUUAGAACAAUGCGUUGAUUGCAUUAAAGGAAAGUUUGUAAAGCAAAUUAAAAAAGGCGCUAAACGUAGCACAGGAGUUUUAGAGAUAAUCCACACUGAUAUUUGUGGACCAUUCCCUGUGAAAAACGUGGAUGGCUAUGACUUGUUCAUAACAUUCACAGAUGAUUACUCCCGUUAUGGUUACAUUUAUCCAAUUAAAGAAAGAUCAGAAGCGCUGGAUAAAUUUAAGAUAUUUAAAGCUGAAGUUGAAAAUCAGCAUAACAAAAGAAUCAAAAUAGUAAGAUCCGACCGUGGGGGGGAGUACUAUGGUCGACAUACCCCAUUUGGCCAAGUUCCUGGACCUUUUGCAAGGUUUUUGCAGGAAAAUGGCAUAGUAGCCCAGUAUUCGAUGCCGGGCGAGCCUCAGCAAAAUGGAGUAGCUGAAAGGCGUAACCGUACACUGAUGGAUAUGGUGCGAAGCAUGAUGAGUUAUUCCACCUUACCAUUGGGACUGUGGAUGGAGGCGUUGAAGACCGCCAUUCACAUUCUAAAUAGAGUGCCAAGUAAGUCGGUGCCCAAAACACCGUAUGAACUAUGGACAGGAAGAGUACCCUCACUAAACCACCUGCGUGUGUGGGGAAGCCCAGCUGAGGCCAAAGUAUUUAACCCAAACAUCGGGAAGCUAGAUCCCAAAACAGUAAGUUGCCACUUCAUUGGCUAUCCAGAAAAAUCAAAAGGUUUUCGUUUCUACUGUCUAGACAGAUAUACAAAGUUUGUAGAAACGAGACAAGCGAUUUUCUUAGAGGAUGAGAUAGUGAGGGGGAGCAUGGUAGCUCGAGAGAUUGAUCUUGAGGAGAAGCGGGUGUGUGCACCUAAUCCGAUGAUUCAGGAACCAUUCUUCUCACUACCUAUUAUUCCCGCACCAAUAGUUCCUGAGGUCGUGGUGCAAGCACCCGCUACAGUCCCUGAUAUUGUGGUGCAGGCACCUGCUGUGAUUCCACCCGUGGAAACGAUGAGUGAAGUUUUGGAACCUGUCCUUCAGGAGCCAACUGAACCCAUCAUUACACACGAGGAAGAGUUGCAGCAGCCACCUCUUAAUAAUGUGCCACAAGCAGAGGCACAGAAUGUGCCCGAAAGUGAGGGGCCUAGAAGGUCUCAAAGGGUCAGAAAAUCAGCUAUCCCUGAUUGUUAUAAAGUUUAUAAUACAGAAGAAGUUCAUAUAGAAGGUGAUCCCACUUCAUAUGAGGAAGCCAUGAAAAGUGUUCACUCAUCGAAGUGGCUAGAGGCUAUGGAAGAUGAGAUGAAAUCGAUGAGUUCCAACAAUAUUUGGGAACUUGAGGAGAUUCCUAAAGGAGCCAAAACAGUAGGCUGUAAAUGGGUCUACAAGACUAAACGUGACUCCAAAGGGAAUAUAGAAAGGUAUAAGGCGAGACUUGUGGCAAAAGGCUUUACACAAAGAGAAGGAAUAGAUUACAAUGAGACUUUUUCUCCUGUCUCAUGUAAAGACUCCUUCAGAAUCAUAAUGGCACUGGUUGCACAUUUUGACUUAGAGUUACAUCAGAUGGAUGUAAAGACGGCAUUUCUAAAUGGGGAUUUAGAAGAAAAUGUCUACAUGAAACAACCAAAGGGUUUUAUCAUGGAAGACAAAGAGAAUAUGGGAUGUCGUCUAAAAAAAUCCAUUUACGGAUUAAAGCAAGCCUCUAGACAGUGGUAUCUAAAGUUUAAUGAUAUAAUAAAGAAAUUUGGGUUUCAAGAGAAUAUAGAGGACAAUUGUGUCUAUGCAAAGUUCAAAAAUGGGAAAUACAUUUUCCUAAUUCUGUAUGUGGAUGAUAUCUUACUUGCAAGCAGUGAUAUCAAUCUACUGCAAGAGACAAAGGAGUUCUUGUCCUCAAACUUCGAUAUGAAGGAUCUUGGUGAAGCAUCAUAUGUUUUGGGCAUAGAAAUUCACCGAGAUAGAUUGAAUGGGAUCCUUGGAUUAUCGCAAAGGGCAUAUUUAGAAAAGGUUCUAAAGAAGUAUAAUAUGCAUGCGAGUAAGGCCACACCUGCUCCCAUAGUCAAGGGCGACAGUUUUGGGAAUUUUCAAUGUCCCAGGAACCAGUACGAGAUCGAUCAAAUGAAAGCGGUUCCAUAUGCUUCAGCUGUCGGAAGCUUACAGUAUGCUCAAGUGUGCACUCGCCCUGACUUAGCUUUUGUCACCGGGGUUCUUGGUAGAUAUCAAAGUAAUCCAGGUAUAGAACACUGGAAGAUGGUAAAGAAAGCAUUGCGCUACGCGCAAGGCACAAAAGAACUCAUGCUUACAUAUAAGAGAUCUGAUUCCCUAGAGAUAAAAGGGUAUUCAGAUGCAGACUUUGCGGGAGACAAAGAUGAUAGAAAAUCCACGUCUGGAUACGUAUUCACUCUCGCAGGAGGAGCUAUCUCAUGGAGAAGCUCAAAACAGAAAGUAACUGCGUCAUCAACGAUGCAUGCAGAAUUCAUAGCAUGUCAUGAGGCCACGGGGCAGGCAAUGUGGCUAAAGAAAUUUAUACCCGGAUUGAGAGUGGUUGACUGUAUUCACAGACCACUAAAGAUGUACUGCGACAAUGAGCCAGCAGUAUUCUAUGCUCACAACAACAAAUCAAGCAAUGCUUCCAAAGCCAUUGAGAUAAAGUUUUAUGUUGUGAAAGACAGAAUCCAGGAUCACACUAUAAGUCUCGAGCAUAUAAGAACAAAAGAUAUGCUUGCGGAUCCGCUCACGAAAGGCUUACCACCCAAUGUGUUCAGAGAACACUUAGCCGGCAUGGGUUUAAGGGAAAGCCUAUGAUUCCUGGAUUGGAAAAGGCCCAAAAGAAACAGAUUUCAAAAUAGAGAGGUGUGUUGUAGCUGUUGAUUCUAUCGGCGAUUAAGCUGUGACGAUGAGGCAUGCUCUACAUAUUAAUCUACGAUGAAACGAAUAAAAGUAAAAAGUGUAAAGUUAAAAGUAAAUGAUGAGAUCAAGGGGGAGAAUGUUAGAUUGAUCUCUUUCCCAAUGGGCCUAAAGGCCCAUCGGGACCCUGAUCCGCGCCCUGAUCGGGGGCGCUCACCCUAGCAAUGGGUGGUGGGCCCCUGUCGCGCUGCGCUAUAUAAACAGGGUGGGGGACCCGGCUCGGCUCACGAGGUUCGCCGCAGCCAGCCGCCCCACCGACACACCUACCGAUCUAGGUUUGUGCAGUAGCGGCGGGAAGCACCACCGCCAUCUCACCGGCGACCGGACUCGGCACUGCGCGUCGCUGCCUUGCGCAGACUCCACCAAGCGAACCAGCGAUGGCCAGCAGCUCUGCUGCUCCCACCUCUAGGGGUGAAGGUACCCCUAUCUCUCUCUCUCUCACUCUCCCUCGGAGCCUACUCCAAGAUCCAGGAGGUGGCCAUGGCGACCAUGGAAGAGGGCCGGCGCCACCGCGGUGUGGCGGAACCGCCCAAAUUAACCUGACUAAAAUGCAUUUAAGUCGCCUGACAUGCGAUGAUGCACUUUAAGCAAGUCAACUUGGUCGACCGUCGGAUUUCCUCCGAUAAACCACGUAAACAGGAUCGAGAAGCAUCGCUCACACGAAGGUGAGUAGCACAGAGAUUACAACAUUUCCUCAUGACAACAUAGUUCAACAAUUUAUUACAUCAGAGUUUUUGGAAAUUCAAACCGAAAUUUCUCAGGGUUCGAGGUCAAAUUAAAACUAGCGGAAGCUUAACGUUGAUACAAGACAUCAUGACGGAGCCGAUCAUGACAUCAAAAUCUCCUUCCUUCGCCAUCCGAGGAAGGAUCCCACUCGACAGUCUAGCCUGGAGGAAGCUGGGUCGGCCAAGUGGUACCAACACCCAAGCUACUGACAUUACCUGAAAAAGAUUAGCCACAACAAGGCUGAGCAACUAAUACUCAGCAAGACUGACCCGUCGGAAGGACGCGACCGAGACUUAGACAUGCAAGGCUUUCUGGCUCUGGGGUUUUCUUGCCAAAAGCGCCUAAAGUCAGUCCUUACUUUCAACAUUUUAGCUCAUGUUCUAUGUUCUUUAUCCAUUCUAGAUUAGCAACUUAUACUAAACAAACAUGGUUUCCAAGCAAUUAUUUGUCAACCAUCAAGAUUAAAAUCAUCAUCAUGUUCCAUCUUUACUCAGUGCAGAAUAGCGAUCAAGUAGUCCCAAACUGUGAGAGGCAGACGAAUCGAUUCGAAUUUAUUAACCAUGCAUGGCAAACCUAAUCUCACGACAUUCGCGCACCACGAAGGGUCGCUUUAUUUGUCAGCCGUCCCCAUCGAUCCCUUAGGCACGUCUCAGGGCCAACUUCCUUUGGCAUGCAAUGCUCCACAGUCCCGGCCUAAUGCUGCACUGUGACCGCACUUGCACCCACAUGAUGCACCAUGGGAACGACGUUCCAAGGACAGCUGGAAGGUAUGCCAUGCCCCAGUUCAAUCAGGUACUAGGGUUCCCCAUCCCAUACUAGGUAUGAGAUUAGUACUUUCAAACACUUGAUCACGAACGCCGACACGUUUCGACCUUAGUUCAUUUUCAUUUAGACAGACGGGGCAAUCCACCAUGUACCAAACACAAGCCUGUCCCCGUCCGUCGUCCUUAUAGUUGCGACAAAUCUGAAUCAUUCAACUCCUAUAACUCGCAAGUGACAGGAAAUCACUCGACUUUUACCGAAACCUAUUAAGCCUUGCACUACUCGACCUUAGCAACUAGUAUUCAAACACAAGGUACUAAGUUAUGCAUCUAAGGUUUCAUUACAACUCCUCAAAACGUAAAUGCGCAAUCAAGUAAUCAAUAAGUGGCAUGAAAGUAAAACAGGGAAUUCAUGCACCGGGGCUUGCCUUCAGAAAAAGCUUGCGGGUCCUCGGGGUCUUGCGCUGGUUCGGGCUCUCCUUCGAAGGGAUGCAGCUGUUCCUCGGCGGGGUCUUCUUCCGGUGCUGGAUGAAGCUCGUACGUUCCGUCGGCGAGAUUCAACUCUACACGGAAAUACAAUGCAGGGGUUAAACAUUUUAGAUGUUUAUUUCAACACACUCAUGUUUUAACACGGACGCUUGUAGCAAAGCUACAGAGAAGGUGGGGAGUUCAACUUCUGUUGGUGGAGAGCAGGAUGAGAGGGUCGGAUUGAGGAAAACUUAGGGUCUGACCCUCAGGGUUAAGGAAAACCGUACCGAGGUCCUCAGACUCAACACAGAGGAAUCCCCGAAAAUAUUUCACCGAUACCCUCGGGUCAAAGAAAAAGAAUUACAACCGAGCCCUCGGGCGAGGCGGAGAGAGGGUCGGCGAACUUGGUAGGGUCGGGCGAAGCGAACGGGAAAGAGGGUCGGACGAAACGAAAAAGAAAAGGGGUCGGACGAACCGCACGGAGAGGGGUCGGACGAGACGGAAGACAGGGGUCGGACGAAACGAACGGAGAGGGGUCGGACGAGACGGAAAGACAGGGGUCGGACGAAACGAACGGAGAGGGGUCGGACGAGACGGAAAGACAGGGAGGUUAAGUAGCUUACCUCCACGUCUACCGGUGAAGCCUUGGGGUCGAGCAGGAGCAGGCUGGGGCGGGAAAGGUUGUACGCACGAAGGCUUGGGCGGCGAGGAGACUUCGACGGUGGUCCGGCAGCGGCGGUGCUUUUGGUGAACACAAGCAAGCUCUAGUACCGCGCGGAGGAACAGGCGGCUGGCGUGUUGGAAGGAGCGGCUUGCGGGUGGCGGCGAAGUCGCCAGAGUGUGGUGGUGGCGCAAGGGGGUGAGCUUCACGGGAACUUAGCGGCGGCGCGGGAAGAAAGCGGCGGCUCAAAAGCGGGUGGUGGCAAGAGGUGGCAUUGCCGGCGAGGGGGUUCCCUUUUAUAGGGCCGGGGUGGCGCGGAAGGUCGAGGCGGGGCUCCGGUGGGGACAGGAUAAGGCCGGGAGCGGCGAGUGCUCGGGCGAGGCGGCCAUUGGCCGACGACGCCAUUGGGCAGAGGAGGCGGAGCUCCGGGUGGUCUUCGACGGCGAUUGGCCUUGGGCGGCGCGCGUCUGGGGCUUCCGGUCUGUCGGGCGGGCGAGGCGGAAAGGCUACCGCGGGGGUUGGGCGAGCAGGCGGAGACGCGGGAUGCCAGGGGCAUCUCAGCUUCCUCGGUGAACGGGCGGAACAGGAUUGGCGGAGCAGAGCCGUGGCAGGCGGGAAGGCGACUUGCGCUCGGCCGGCGAUUGGCUGGCCCUGCGCUUGCUCCGUCCUGUCGCGGGUGCGGGUUGGGCGCCGUGGCUCUCGUUCGGUCACUGUCACUCUGGGGAUAGGGCGCCGGCGAGCUGCUGGUGGCCGGCGGCCACGCGGCGCGCGAGCGAACAUGCUCGGGCGCGCGGGCGUCAAGGCUCCCUUCGGGCUGCAAGCCAGACCAGCUUUGGAGCGAUCCUCCUCCGAAUCUUUCAACACAACUCCCGAAACUCCCUUAAACAAACUUGCCCAACUCUGAUAGCUCUUCAAACUUUGUUUAAGGUGUCGGUUUAGAUUGUGGAAGGAUUCAAAGAUAUUUCUGGCCAAAGUUAGCCAAAAAUCUGGGAUUCCAGACUUAGGAUUUUUAAGCAUCCGAAAAGAGUUGACUGGUUUGCCUCAUUUUGACCGGGAUUUGAACAAGCUUGGGUCCGAUUUGGAUCUGGGUCAGAGUAACAAAGCUGGAACACUCUUGAGAUACUACAACAUCUAUUAAGGGUCUGACUCGAGCUUAGAUAGGAAAACAGGAGAUGAAAACUUGCAAAGAUGGAGGAAAACUCGAAUUUCCAGGACUUAAGAGAUUUUCAAGGUCCUGUAGGAAGGCCGGCUUUGGUUGCUGUUUUUGACUCCUUUCCACUUCGAAAUAGACAAGGUGCCUUUAACAAAAGUUGUUGGAAUUUAAAAGUUUUAAAACUCUUAUUUGGGCAGAAACUUAAGUUUGUAAAUAGAAUUUUAAGCUUUAAAACAAACUCCAACAGAGAGCUUCUUAGGUUUACAAAGGUCAUUUCACUUCUUAACUUAGGGAUUUAAUUGACACUGGUUUAGAAUUAUAGCACUUAAUUUAGGUGGAGUUGUUACACGCGGGUCCCCUCGCCGGCGCGCGCGUCCACCGCGAGGGUUGGGCGCGCCGCCGUCGAGCGGUCCUUUGGUGGUGCUGUUGCGCCCCCCUCCCGAGCCCCGAGCGGAUGCUCCGGCGGCUCGGGUGAACCUUUUCCCCGGCGAGCCCGAGGCUCGGCCGGCCUUUGCCGCUCGCCGUCGGUGGACAUGCGGCGGUGAAGUCGGCGACAGGUAAGCCGCCACGUUCAUUCUUUAGAUCUAGGGUUAGGGUUAGGGUUUCACUUUUCUGUUUCUUUUCGAUCUUCUUCUUUUUCCCGAUCUACUUCUUUUUCCCUGAUUUAGAAGAGCUUCUAGUGAGGUGUCUGAUACCAUUGUUAGGACCGUGCCUAGGAUCUCUAGAUGCACAUCUAGUCGGGAUCAUAAAAGACAGAAGGGUCAUGGUGUUCCUGGUGUGUGUGCCGAGAGUGAGAGAGAGAGAUAGGGGUACCUUCACCCCUAGAGGUGGGAGCAGCAGAGCUGCUGGCCAUCGCGGGUUCGCUUGGUGGAGUCUGCGCAAGGCAGCGACGCGCAGUGCCGAGUCCGGUCGCCGAUGAGAUGGCGGUGGUGCUUCCCGCCGCUACUGCGCAAACCUAGAUCGGUAGGUGUGUCGGUGGGGCGGCUGGCUGCGGCGAACCUCGUGAGCCGAGCCGGGUCCCCCACCCUGUUUAUAUAGCGUAGCGCGAGAGGGGCCCACCACCCAUUGCUAGGGUGAGCGCCCCCGAUCAGGGCGCGGAUCAGGGUCCCGAUGGGCCUUUGGGCCCAUUGGGAAAGAGAUCAAUCUAACAACUCCAACAUGUAGUACUAUAUCAACGAUUAGGUGACUGAGUAGAGCUAUAAGAGGUGACUCGAUCAAAUAUAAUGCCAAGAGCAAGUGCAUACACAUACUUAGGAUAUAUGGGCACGGCACAUAGAGAGGGAGAGAAAAGUUGGGGGAUCGUGAGUUGCCUAUGGAACUGUGAGGCAUUUGACAAAUUUGCACAGAUUGGGUGGAACUGGAAGCAUGCCAUUCGCAUACUUCGUGUAACAAUGACUUGGUUCCUCCACACAUGACUCUGAAGAGGCAAGAUCACCGUGUGUCAGUUGGCAGGUGAUGCUCACCACAGACGGAAAUAGUUUAUCACCCAUGCAACCACAAAUUUGCCUAUGCUGCGGCGCGGACUGGGUGAGACAAUGCACACUAGAACUGGAGGCAUGCCCAUCCAAAUGCUUCGUGUGUACGGAAAUGAUUGGUUCCUGCACAAGGCUGCGAAGUGGCAAGAUCGCUGAGUGGUAAGGUACGGUGAUGCUUAUCACGGACAGAAAUGGAGGCUGCUCGGUAUGGUACUGUAGGCAGGGUUCUAUCCGUCAACCAAAAACCAAGUACACCACAGCAGAAAAACGUUCCACGUCGUGUUGCAGACAACAAAAAGCUCUCUUGUGCAAGGCUAGGAAAGCAUUUGCCAGUUAAGGAAUAAUGCUUUCUUCUUCGUGCAAUAAUAUUGGCUUUGUGUUUCCCCUGUUUUAUAUGUGAAAAACAACAUAAUUUACAGAAAAUUAUUUUUUAUGCAUAUCUAAAAUUGUUUUAGAUGAGAGGACCUUUUUUGGAAUGGCAUUGGUUUAGAGGACUUAGCUAGACAUGAAGACAUCGGUUCCUCUCUGGUACUUCCAAAGAACAAAGCUUAGAGUACAUUGGAAUUUUUGGGACAGGGAGAAGUAACUUCCAAAAAAAAUAGCAGUAGUUGAGCCCAUGCUAUUUUGGCAAGGGUGGCAAUGCAUUGUUCUCGCGCUAUAUGCCCCUAUUCAGGGGCGGAGCAUAGUGCUGGUUUAGGAAAUUUUCUUGAAGAGUCUUUAAUUCUACCACUUAAGCUCAAACAAAAUGAUAAUCUGGCCCCCUCUGUUGCGUAGUUGACCCCAUCUCGUUUAGAAACUAAGCUCCGCCACUGCCCCUAUUGUUGUCUUUUUACUGGUGCCGGCAGUAUGGUUCACCCAAAAGAUACAGUUUGUACGAGAUGGUACAGUCAAUUUUCUUUGUUUUAUAAACAUGGACUAAACCCCAAGUAUAAGCCUGAAACCUCACUCAGGCUUAGACAGGGGCCAAAAACUAGAUGGCCAAUACACACUUACUACAAGGAUUCGUAUAGGAGAUGUAUAUGAUAUUUCGAGGCGUGAAGUAGAAUGAUGUGAUAUUUCAAUCUUUUAUUUUCCACCGGUUUGACAAACAACCAUGGUUCCCUAGUUACUCAAAGCCUUGCUAUAUUUUAUGGAAAGUGCAACUGAGCUAAUUAAAUAUUGAAUGUUCCAACCAUGUUAAGUUGCCAACUUGCAAUCAUCUAACACCCAGCAUCCGCAUGGUUACAAAUGCGUUCUACAAUAAUAAUGCUGACAUGAUGCCACAGAGGCCAUGUUGUUUCCUUAAAUUUGGGGCAUGUAUUUCACUCUUUGUAAAAAUAAUGUGGUGUACCAUAUCAUUGCAUGGUUUCAUAUAUAGAACAAAUACAUCUGCAACUAUGAAAGGCAACUAAGGCAACUAUGAAAGGCUACGACGAUAUAGGAAGAGGGAGACAAGACGGGGAUGACAUAUAUAUUGUGUGUUCAAAUGUGAGGAUUAUGGCGAAUUCAUAUAGGAUUAGUAGGCAUGAGGAACUUAAUUAUAUCAGCAUUUCAUUGUUAGAGUAGAGAAAUCUUUCAUGACGACGCAAGUGGGAUCGAUAUCGCUGGUAAGAUGGGAAGAGAAUGCUCAGCACGGUGGAAAAUACUCACCAGUGUGAUCAACCUACUUUCGUACAUACAACAGGGGAUCGGAAGCAAUGGUCAGCAUGGUAUUUUGUAACUCUUUCACUACCAGAAAGAGAGAAUUCGUAAGAGUUGAAAACCAUCAUGAAAAUGCAAAAAGUCGUCACAAAAAUGAUCAGUGGCGGAUGACUGUCAGACAAAAAACUUGGCAAAUUGAACGCCACAGGAGCACCAUUUAUGUGAUGGUUGACCGCCAGGAACAUUUUUCUUGGCGAUAGUUUGUGAGUGCUACCUUCACAAUAAUUCGGACAUCGUCAGGUUUUCAGAAUCCUAUUCGUGGAAGCUGAACUUCAAGGGGAAAACGUCACAAAAAGUUAUUAUUCCUGGCAGUCGUCUACAACCCACACGAAAAUUUAUAUUAAAAUUAGCAGGUGUUCAGAAUCUCAUUUUCGAGGAAACAAGUAGUUUCAUUAGGUUGGAAGGUCUUCUUUUUUAAGGUAAAUUAGACGGUGUUUUGCGCAUUGGGAUCUUUUGCGUGCAGCCGACUUGGUCUCCUGAAGUUCCUAUUCGAAGCUAUUAGCCACCUGGCUGACCAGUAUUGUAAUCUCUAUUGUUUUAUCCCCGACCACAUUAAAUGCGCUUGUGGGAACAAUGUGCACAUCAAUAUGGGGAACAUAAAAAAAUGUGGUGUGAUAUGGUUCUGUGGCUGCACAGAAAAAAUAACUGAAGCUAUAUUGAGAUACUCCUAGCAAAUUGUCUAUGGGGUGAUGGACAUAACCGUAUAGGAUUGGUAGGUUAAGAAUUCAGUUUCGCCACUUUGAUCGCAAGGCCACGGCUAGAGCUCGCUUCACAGUUUGCCGGCAGGCAAUGAUCAGAACAAACAAGAAUGUGCUCGGUUGAUCAGUCGAGCAGAGAGCCAGCAGAGUACUUCAAUUCGGACCUUCAAAAGAGAUGAUUUCAUCUCGUUUCAGUAGACUUGACGACUUGUCAUCAGUUCAAGUAAAAAAAAAUGAACAGAAAACUGUUAACCAGCUUUUUACAUAUUUCAAUAAUCCUUUUCACGUGUUAAAAGUUAAAACCAUGGGCACAACAGGCUGCUAGCAUUAUAACGCAAAGAGAACAUCCCUAGAGAAUCAAAUUACUUCAGUGACCCCCAGAGCGAUGCCAAACAUUAGGAGUGACUUUCUAUUCCACUAAACAAUUUCCAAGUCCAGUCGCAUAAAAACAAGAACAUGAACUUGCUUAUAGAAACAAGAGCAGAGCAUGACACAUUUCAAUGUACCUCUGGCAGGACGAGACACCGUAUUUACAAGCAACAGGCCAGUACAUUAACGGCUAGCACUCUAACGAGAAACCACUUUGCGCAUGCAAAUUCAGUGCUGAGAAGACUCCCUUUCCAGCCAAAGCUCUACCUAGUCAUUCAGGUAUCUAGCUAUCAUGAUAAAUAGGCUUCUUAACAUUUGGCGUAUCGAUCAACAGGGACGCAACACCACUAACAGUGGGCAUCACUGCUCCAGGUGGAAAAAAACACAGUCAAACGAUUCGGUUUGCUUCCAUCCUCUGGUUGGUCUGAGUAUUUGGUUUCAAGCAUAUUGAUUGCUGCAUGUUAGGUUUAAUCUCACAUCGGAAAUUGAUGGUGGGAGCACAACAUAUAGGUAGAGGCAACCCUCACCCAUCAAGCUAAUUUUUUGGGUUGAGUUAGGCCAAUACCUUGUUAUUGUGAGCUCCGUGGACAAGAGCUUGAUGGGGUGCCGACUCGCCGACUCGUGGGUAUAGUAGGUCAGGCCGGAUUUCGCUGUGCAAUCUAACAAGUGGUAUCAGGGUCAAAAGGUCGGGAAACUUGGAACAUCUCUGGGUUACAUAGUGACGGUAAAUGGAGAGUUGGACUCGUGGCCUGGGAUAACGUCUUCGGGAGAUCACAUGGGUUGUAUGUGAUGGAAGAGUUGGGCCUGAUGUGUGACGAGAUGAGAUUGUUAAGUUUAGUCCCAUAUCGGAAAUUGAUGGUGGGGGAGUGGGGGCAGCCCUCACCGAUCAAGCUAGUCUUUUAGGUUGAGUUAGGCUAAAGGCCUUAUUGUUGUGGGCUCCGGUGGAUCUGGACUUAUGGGGCGCCGGCUCGUGGGUAUAGCGGGUCGGGUCGGAUUCCGCUAUGCAAUCUAACACUGCAUCCAAACUCCAACAAUUUUGCACAAGUGGCGUGUUUUUCGUGCGGUUUCAUUAUUGAGUUGUUGCUCUCUUUUGUUGGUACCAUUAGCAUGCACGGGUAGCAAGAAGAUGGCUCGCUCAAUUUAUUUGGUUUAUAAUUUUAUAUGCUAGUAAUCGUGCUGAGGUCUUCAUAUGAUACACGAUUCCUAAUUCCCACUGAACAUGGAGUAGUUGCACUUGGUACCAUGCACCAUAUCAACCUAGUGGGCGAUAAACUUAACACAAGUUGAGUUUAUUAUGCAGCUGUAUGAUAUUUCACUUAAUGCUAUGUGGAAUAAUGUGAUACUCGUACUCCAACCUUCCACCAGCUUUGUCAAGCGAACAUUAACCAAGGUCAGGUUCUCCUAUUCCUUGCACAAAGUACAACUGAACUUAAUCCCGAACGUGAAUCAUGCCAGUACGUGUCUCCACCGCUGACAUCACCUAACUUCAAGAAUUGUAAGUAUAAUGGCAUCAUGCAAUUGGCAGCGCAGUGCAGUGCUAAAUGGAGCAAAACUGAAACUAGUGUGACCGUAUGAGUUGUAACCUGUGAGCUGCAGUGUGCGAUUGCGCAGGACAAAUAUAUUGCUAUAUAUUGCUAGUGUUAAAAAAAUAUUAUAGUAAUACCAUUUGUAUUUUUUUACCAUGAUAACCUUAUACAACCUAUACCUCUCAUGUAUACUAUGUGAAGUUUUCAGUAGUAUACAAUUAAUCUUGAUCAUCGGAUAUUUUUAUACUAAUCCUUUUCGAACACUAGUAUAGACUAGUAUUGUGCACUGUAAAAGAGCUCGAUAUAUAAACGACUAUAUUAUACAUUCUGAAGGUAGUUAAGAUGGCAAUGUGUGUGGAAUUGGGUAGAACGGUAGGACUUAUAAAGAGGAGACAUAAUGCAAAUUGUCUAUGAAAAUACUGUGCGUUUGGCAUGAGCUAUUUAGGAUUGGGUGGUAUCAAGAAUUCAGCUAUAACAAUGCGGCAUCUUUACACAAAUGUGGCAUGAAAAUCUAUUCUACUCAUGCCAUCAACAUGCUUCAUGUAUGCGGUGAUUGGUAGUUCCAUCGGACAGAUCAGCUUAGCUUUCGGACAGCCACCUGCGAACUUUAAGAUCGCGAGUCGAUCAUUAACCAGCUUUAUGUGUUUCAAAUAACAACUUUUCCAUUGUUGAACCAUAGGCUUAUACCUCUUUCAUUUCGGCACAAAGAAGUUCCUAGAAAAUCAAAUUGGUCCAAUGAGCUCCAGAGCAAUGACAACCGCUAAGAGUUUCAGUUCUACUAGAACACCAAACUACAGUAACGAAAGAAACAAGAAUAUGGACUUGAUUGCUAAUCAAACAAGAUCAAAGCAUGACUCGUUUCAUGAUCCUCUCUGGCAGGAAUAAUUGCCACGAUAUGAACAGGCACCAUACCACUAGCCAGAAAUCAAUUGCACAUAUGUAAAUUCAGUACUGAGAGAGCUCCCCCUUCUAGCUAAACAUUGAAAAGUUGAAAAUGUUGGCAAUUCACUUAUACUCCAACACUCCCCCUCACGUGCAGGCUCUCUUAGACCGUAUACGUGAAACUUGGAGUAGGCUACAAUUAUUUUAUUUAAUCGCGUCCGCUAGGAUUCGAACUCGAGACCUCUAGCUCUGAUACCAUAUUAAAUUGCAUGCACCAACCAGUUCAACUUAAAAGCUUAAGCUGAUGGAGAGAGGUGGACAAUUCACUUAUACUCCAACAAUAAUAAGAUUUGAAAUUGAAAAGUGAUGGAGAUGCAACACGAUUUUUUUUUACUAGUGGGCAUCAAUGCACCACGUGGAAAAACACAGUCAGGCAAACACAGCAGUAUGCACCAUGCAGUAUGCUUGGUAGAGCUUUUGAUUGAUAUAAGCCACUGAAUUUUUGAUAGAGGAGCAAUGAUGAUAUGCCAUCAAAGCUGACUUCGUUCUACUAAAACAGUUUCCAGCUUCAAGUUAUACAUAACAGGAAUAUGUAUAGCAAAGAACCAUUCAUCACUACAUCUCUAAUGCUAGGAACGGGAAGAACAACACAAUAUAAAUCUCACACUUUGUUUACUUUACUACAACAUGAACUGCAAAAUAGCAAAGGUGUUAUCUAAUUAUAGCGAACAAGGCCCCAUUAGACUAUUACUUUGUAAUUUUAGUGAUUAAUGUGACAACACGGUCAUUAGAACUAACAAAGCAUUGAGAACAUGUCUUGAAAGUAUUCUAGUUCCUAAAUAACACUAGUAGAGAAUUGGCUUUCCAUACGUCCCCUUUUAUCCCGGUUUAAAGUUGGCCCGGGACAAAAGGUUCACCAAC
rnacentral:lncRNA from 1 species